UUGCGAGACAGUACCUCUGGUGCAAUAUAGCCCAUGGUACCUCUAGCUGUUGUCAUUGAAAUAGCACUUUGUUCCUUGGAACACAAUUUAGCAAGGCCGAAAUCAGAGAUCUUAGGAUUGAAGUUGUGAUCAAGCAAAAUAUUGUGAGGUUUGAUGUCAAAAUGGAGGAUACGUUGCUCGCAACCUUGAUGCAGGUACUCAAUGCCUUUGGCUACACCGACAGCAAUAUCCUGAAGUUUUUCCCAACUCAGGGAUCGAUCCUUGCCCUUGGCUGAAAAUAUGAACUUCUCUAAUGACUCGUUUGGUAGGUAUUCAUAAACGAGAGCUCUGUCAUAUCCAUCGGCACAAAACCCAACCAGGCGAGUCACAUUCACAUGGUGGAUUCUGCCCAUCGAACCCACCUCGUUGAUGAACUCUUCACCAUUUCCCUUGAAAUUAUUGAGCACCUUGACAGCAACUAAAACAUCACUGGAAAGUCUGCCUUUGAAGACAGUUCCAUAGCCUCCUUGUCCCAGUUUGUCCUUGAAAUGAUUAGUUAUCCUUUUAAUAUCAGCAUAGGAGUAUCUUGAGGGUUUAAGCUCUUUAUAAUCUUCCAAAAACUUUUCAAUCUUGACUUGGCUUUCUUUCUCCUUUUUGUCUAACCGAUAUCUCCACCCAACUGCAAUGGCAAUGGUUGCAGCAAUUGAAGAACCCAACACAAUACCUGCAAAUCAGCAUACAUCCCUCUGUUAUAUCCCGUCUUAAAUUAUUGAAGCUAAAAGGGAAAUUUCAUUUACCUGCAAUCAUUAGCCUUUCUCCCAAACCUGCCAAGCAUUUAAAAUUAUUCAGCUUUGAUACAUGGGAAAUCUAAGAAAAGGGCUCACUGUAAGUUUACAACAUUAAGCUUCACGUUGAUGCAGGCUAAUGAAUUUUUUAACGUACGUUGUACAAUUAUAAUAGUUAAAACAUACCUAUAUGGUGCUUGGGGAUAUAAAAACACUCGGUUUGUUCCUUGGUGCUAUUAUUGUUGGUCAAUCUACAUCCCCUUCCUUGAGCUUCGCAAUCACCACAGUCUGGUUUAUACCAACGUAACUGAAAACGGAUACCAUAAGGAGAAAUGGGUGUUGAGAAGUUGCGAAAGUAGCUGCAAUUCAACAGGUUGAGUCCAUAAUAAUUUUCAUCAGAAGCAAAAGCUAUAAUUUAGGAGCCAGGGGUGCUUAAGCAAGCGACUCUAUAUCUUUUAUACAAAGCCUUCUCUUGGCUUAAACAUUCGAACAAGGUAUAGUUGGAUUCAGCUGGUUGGGAUCUAUAAUCUUUUAGGCCGCUGAAACCUGGUUGUUCCUCCGCGAAUGGAAAGGCAGAUAAAUUGAGAUCUAAAAGCUGCUGCCAGAGGCAACGGCCGGGAACGUAGAAGUCAAUCCGUUGAGCUUCAUAAUCUAUGUGCUUCACCAAUAGCUUCAGCGAACGUGGUAUCUUCAGCAGGGUCUGUUUGUUUUCUGAGCAGGAAAGCUGAAACCCAGGAUGAUGAUAGCCGCAGUGGGGAGACUGCUUGCCUUCUAAACGGAAGGGGAAACGGACAGGUGGAUCCUGGUGGUUGCACCGCCGCACCUUGCAGUCGUCUUGGAUUGGCACUGCUUCUGCAACAUUCACAGCUAAGAUAAAGCAGAAUAACGAGUAAAUUAACAUUGUUCUUACUAACUUGUGAGCCCCUGAAGUGAAACGGGCUUUAAAUAGUUUCAUUGACAUAGGUGGUUCAGCCCUUGAGAGUUCCAAUUAUGCACGCAACGCAGCUGCUGCUUUACUACAUAGCUUUGUCUCGUUUAACAGGGUCUUCAACUCUUCGUCCUCUCUUUGUCCUCUUUUAUGAGUAAAUGUUGGACAUGUUUGAUUGUUAGCAACCCUUUCUAACCUUGUUACUAAUUUUCUUUUAUUCCCGUUAGUUGUAGUAAAAUUUGAGGAAAAAACACUGAACAUGAGAAUGAAUACCGAUUUGCUGUUGUGAUCAUAGUGGGGUCAGCUUGACUGACUUUUGUUUUUCCACCUUCGUUUCACUACAUUUUGUUUGGUAUGACUAAGAAGUUGACUGACUUUUAUGGGUUCUUUUUAAUGUCUAUCGUUUCUUUUCUAAUGUAGGUGGUUUUUUUCUCACUUUCCUUUUUCUAAUUUAUCUUUUAUUUUUGGAUUUUAAUUAAAAAUGGCAAAACUCGAAUCAUAUGUUUUUAAAUUACUUAUUUUAGAUACAACAAAUUUUUUAAAAGUGGAUACAGGACAAAAUGAGAUGAUUUUUUUCACAUGAGUAUGAAACAAUUAUAGUCCCUAUCUCGAAAUAAUCUUUUACCUUUCUUUGUAUAUAAUUAUUAAAAUGAUAAAAAUGUAAUAAUAUAUUAUAGGAAAAAAUUCAUAUGUUUUAUAUUUAUAUUUUUAAAAAAUUAUGUUUAAAUGCUUACUUGUCUUAAAAAAAAGUAAAAUUAUUAAAAUAACUAGAAAUAAAAAUUAAAUUAAAGCAGAGCGAAACAAGGUGAGAUGGGAUGGGGAUGAAUGCUUUUAAUAUAUAUGCUGUGAUAGCGAUUUUUCAGAUUAUACAUUCCAAGUGGGGCGAGGCGGGUGGUGGAGUAAAGCAUGUCAACUGUGGAGCGAUGAUGGAUUUGACAACAUUUAACCUGUCUUGCUCCAUUGCAUGAUGCUUAAUAGGGUCUUCUUUUUUUAUUAAAUCAUCACAAUCAAUUUUGUAUUGAUACUGUUCAGAUCAACCAAAUCGAUUCAUUUAAGUAAUAAACCGAAACAAUAAAAUCUGCGGAUUAAAGCCUGUAAUCAAUGUGCACAGUAUCGCCCAAUGAGGUCAAUUGAUCAAAUGGGGCUCUUUUAACCCACUUGAAUUGGCAUGAUUAAUGGAACACAUGGAGAAGCCCAUCCACUUGAAGCAUUGGUGGCUUAGUGAAAUACUUUAGUAAAACUAGAGUUACCAUGGUGAAUAUUUGUAAUCCUAAGGGAUUAGAUUGUAUAGAGCUUAAAUCCCUUCGAACUCUCAUUUGUAGAUAGGUUUUAAUCUUGAUUGUUGAUGUAAUUUAAAUUGAGUUGUUGCAUCAGAGAGAUCUCAACUAUAAAUAAAGGUUUCCCCCUUCAUUUGCAAUCACUCAAUGUUUUUUCACUCAAAGUUACUAAAUAUAAUUGAGAGCAUUUACUCAAACAUACAUUACUUUCUUGUGGUUUCUCUAGUUCUUUCAUUGCUUCUUCACUUUUGUGUUUGCUUCCGCUAAGUUUUGGUGCCUUAGAGAAUUUCCUUGUGAUUUCUUACUUUUUGAGAUUUAGGUGGACUUAGGCGAAUUUAAAGCUAAGUUCUUGCCCAAUGUUGCACAGUUUGCCAGACUAAAGUUCUAGCCUUGUGACAGUUGGUAUCAAGAGCUAGUGAUUGGUAAGGCGUUAAUUGAGAUGGAGAAAGAAGUAAAUAAUCAAGAGCUCGUGACCGUUGGCAUCACGAACUAGUGUUUGGGUAGGAAAGCUAGUAGAUCAAGGGAUAUAUUGUUAGGUUUGGAAGGUUGAGUGACCAACUUCAAGGAAUUCAUGGGUGGCAUGAAGGAAACACUCAAAGUAGUUAAGGGACACACCACAGAGCUGGACUUAGUGAAAGAGUAACUCAAGGGAUAGGUGGCAGAGGCUCUCAGUACUAGUGUGGACGCACUGCAAGGGGUUCUCAAUACCUCUGUGGGUAAGUUGACAAAGAGAGGUGAUACUCUUAAGGACGUGGUGACAAAUUUGAAGGAACAAAUUGAAUAUUUCAAGAAGGAGCUUGUUAUCUGUAAAAUUGCUUUAGGUAAUGACGUGUUGGCUACGAUACCCAAGCCUAAGGUCGAUACCUUCAAGCCGAAAGAAUUUAAGGGGAUGAGAUCCGAAAUAGAUGUGAAUAACUUUUUAUAAGGAAUGGAAUAAAACCUUCGUGCUAGAGGCAUCAAAGAUGCUGCUACUAAGGUAAAUAUUGCAUCUAUUGUAACAGCUCGAUUUAUGGGUCUAGUCAGAGCAGUGGUUUCGGGACCACAAAUCCGAAGUUAAAAUUCUUAUUUUAUUAUUUUAAUAUCUACAGUAUGAUAUUAUUAUUGUGUAAAAAUUUCGUGAAGAAAUUUUAUCAAUUGGGUGCUUAAUUUGAUAAAAAGGACUAAAUCGCGUAAAGUGCGAAAGUUGCAUUCUAUAUGUAAAGGUGUCUAAUAGCUAUAGAAUUUUAAAUUGAAGGUCCUUAUGUGAUAAAUAACCCAUUAUUGAGAUAUUGGAUGUUAUUAGAGUGGCAUUUGGUGUAGUUAUUAGGGUUAUUAAAGGUUAAAUGAGUAAAACGACAUUAUAUGUUAAAUUAAAUAAAACAAAUUGUGUCAUCUUCUUUCACUAUCCAUCUUCACCAAAAUUUCAACCUAAAAUCAGCCAUGGGAGAGCUUGUUAUUCUGCCAAACUUUGAAGACAAAUUGGUGAGUGGUUUUUGCUUGGUUUUUAAUAAUUUCUAUAUUUUUGAUAUCGUUGCUUCGUAAUCUAGCUAACCCGUACCUCCGUUUCUAAAACUGUUAAAGAUUUUUUGAAUUUCCAUUGUUGAAUACUUGAGCUCUUUGAUAUUUUUUGAUGAAAUAUGAAUAUUUUAUGUUAGAUUUUCAUCUUUUAUAAAGUGAUUUUUGAUAAAAAUGUCAAUUAGGGAUUAAAUUGUGAAAUGUGGAAAUUUAGUGGUUAAAAUGUGAAAUAAAUUGAAAAUAUGGGCUGCUAGUGAUAUAUGGAAAAUUCAGCUAGCUUGGAUUUGUGUUUAAUUUCAUAAAAUUGUGAUUUUAUGUUAUAAGGACUAAAUUAUAAAAAUGUGAAAUUAUAGGGGUAAAAGUGUAAAUAUUCUUUAAGGUAAAUUUUGGAUUAAAUUUAAUUGAGAGAUAAUUAAAUAAGCUUAUUUUGAUUAUAUUUAGAUCGAGAAAAGUGAAAUACGGAUCUAGAUUGGGGAAAAGAUAAAGUAUCGGACCAGUCAAUUCGUUCCGUCGUUUUAGCAAUCGAGGUAAGUUCGUGUAAUCAAACUUCAGUGUAUAUUUAGGUAAUUGAUGAAUGAUAGUAUGAAUUUAUUCAUAUAAUCAAUUUAAUUAUGGAGCUUAAAUUAAACGUUCGAUAUAAGUAAAAAUGUAGGAUCAAACACAAUCGUUUCGCAACGAAAGACGAAUUGGCAGAAAAAACCAUGGUUGGACCAUGGCAUUACAUGAUUUCGUAUAAGACCAUAGCUGGGCUAUGACAUCGAUAUAUGAGACUUUGUGUAAGACCAUAUCUAGGAUAUGGCAUCGAUAUAUGUGAUUACGUGUAAGACCAUAUCUGGAACAUUGGCAUCGAUAUAUGAUUCGUGUAAGACCAUAGCUGGGCUAUUGGCACCGAUAUGUGAUAACAUGUAAGACCAUAUGUGGGAUAUGGAAUUGUAUGUGAUAUACGAGACUUUCGAGUAUCCUUAACGAUUAUGAAUGGUUCGUCACGCAAAGUUAAGACAAGAAUGAAAGUUCAAUUGAAUUAAGCAAAACAGGUACGUUCAGAACCUAUGUGAGAGUUAAAUGAAGGUAAUUUAAUGAGAAUUAUUAGUGUAUAAUUAUAUUUUAUGCCAAAAUGUGUUUAUUUGGCUAUAGUGAGGUAUGAAUUGAAUGAUAUGUGUGAUAUGAGCAAUGAUUGUGUUAAUUAUAUGAAUAUGGCACAUUGAGUGAGAAUUACAAUUAUUUAACGAUAAUUUACAUGAUUCUUUCGGCUAAAGAAAUGUGAUGAAUAAUGGAUCAAAUAAAGUUAUACAUUGUUGCUUAUGUAUUUGUAAAUGAGAAUGAAGUGAUAAGAAGUUUAAGAGGCAUACGAGCUUUGAAAGGAAUAAACUCGUGGAAAUCUUGUUUGAUCAUAUGCAUGAAUAUGAGGUAGAAUUGUGAAAUCAAAUGAGUUAUAUUAUGACUUGAUGCAAUUGCUUGUAAUGUGGUUAUUUAGUAAUAAGAGUUAUGAUAUUACAAGCUUACUAAGCUUUAUAGCUUACCUGGUGUUAUUUUUUUAUGUUUUACAGUGUUUGGGACGUUCGCUCGGGUUGGAAGUCGACAGAGAUUGCAUCACACUAUCCAGCUAAUAAUUUCGGUAUUUAUAUACUUUGUGACUUGGUUAUAUGGCAUGUAUAUGCUAUGGUUAUUUUGGUUUACUAUGGAAAGUGUAUUUGGCCAUAUGGUUUGGCUUGUUUUAAGUAUGUAUUUGAUUAUUUUGUAUAGGCUAGUUUUUAAUAUGUUUGGUUUUGAUGAUAUGUAUAUAUUCAGCCAUGCAAAAAUGGCAUGAUUAUAAUGCUAAUGGUUGUGUAAAUUUGAUCAUGGUAUAAGCACAUUUCUGUAAGUAUGUCCCUUGACAUGUAUGAAUGGUGUUCUGGUUAUAUGUCUUGGUUGAGUAAUGAUAUGAAUGACUUAUAAAUAGCUCAUUUAGUAAGCUUGAUACAUGAUUUAAUUUGUAUUUGUGAUUGGUCUUGUGAUUUGGGUUGGAAUGGUUAAGUAGGCAUAUGUGGUAUGCUUGUUUGAGUGAGUUUUUAGGUACAGCUCAUGAUGGAAAUGGUAUGAAUUUUUGGAGGCUAAUUUGAUGAUCAAAUAUAGGAUUAAAUGAUUUAGUUGUGUAUAUGAAAUUUUGGCAUGGUACAUAGUAUAUGAAAUUGGCAUGUUUAAAUUGUAACAGCCCGAUUUUGGGUCUAGUUGGAACAGUGUUUUCGGGACCACAAAUUCGACGAGGAAAAAUGUAAUGGCCUGAAUUUUUAGGGGUGUCGGAACGGUGAUUCGAGAUCACUAAAUCCAAAAAAAUGAGUAGAAAAUAUUAUUAAUUUAGUGAGUAUAAGUAAAUGUGAAGUUAAGAAAAUUUUUGAAAUAGUGAAUAGUGCACUAGAAAUAAAUAUUAAAAUAAUUAGAAUAAAAAAACGAGGUAUCGAGACCUCAGAGAUUUUAAACCGAGCCAUAAAUAUUUUUAUAAAUAUUUAUGGAGUGUUAAAAAGUUAGUAUUAAAUUUUCGUUAAGAAAUUUUAAAGUUUCGAUAAUUAAUUGAACAAAAAUGACUAAAUUGUAACAAAUGCAAAAUUAUAGGAAAUGAUUAAAUAGCUUAAAUGAUAAAAGGAAGAGGGCUUAAAAAGCAAAUAGACCCAAUGUCUGGACGUCAAAGGCAUGAAAUCAACAAGAAAGUAAGGAGAAUUAAGGGCAAAAUUGGAAUACUACAAAAUUACUUAAUAAAGCUAGGAUCAAAGUGGAAUUAUCUAGAUUUCUCUUUAUUUUUCUGCAUUCUCAUCAGCUAAAACACCAUAGAAGGGUUUCCUUAAGUUGGUUUUUCAUAUUUUUACUGCAAGUAAGUUCAAUUCUUGAUUAUUUCUUGAAAUUUUUGUGUUUUUGUGACUUUUACAACUAGGCCCACUUGUUGAAUUCAUUAGUUUUUGAUUCUAUGAAAGAAGUUGAAAGUUGCUAUGAAUAUGUGCUGGAAGUAUAUGAUGAUUUAGCAUGGAAUUAGAGCUUUAAAUUGUUUCUAUGCUGAUUUUAUUGAAAGAAUUGAAUAAAAAGUGAAUAUUUGGGACCUAAUAGUAAAAGAGUUUGAAGUUAGGGUUUUAUGAGGAAAUUCUGAAUUUCAAUAGUUAUGAAUAACUUAUAAUGUCUAAGUAAAGUACUAAUUGAGAAAAAUUAGCUUAAUUGAGGGGUUAAUUAAACAAUGACUGAAUUGUAUGAAUUGUAAAUUUUGAAAUAUAAUAAAUUUUGUGAGACAAGGUCAGAAUGAUUUCGGGUUCCCCUGUUCUGACUUUGGAAAAUCAUCAAAAAUUUAAGAAAAAUAAUUAGGGGCUUAAAUUUAUAUAUUUAAAAUCCUGAAUAAGUCUAUUUUCAAGAGAAACAAACGGAAACAUCAUCCGAAUCCCGUAAGAGGAAAUAAUUAUUUUUUAGUGAAGAAGGGUCGGAACUGUCUAAUAGUGAAACAGGGGAGAAUUUAAAGAAUAAACUGUACUUAUUGGCUAAGCCAAAAAUUCUAAAACUUUUAUGGUAAAAAUAUAUAUGAGUCUAGUUUCUGGGAAAAUUAACGGAUCUUAAUUUGGAGUUUCGUAGCUCAAGAUAUAAAUAAUUUAGUGACUCUGACUCGGAUAGACAGCUUUGAAUUUACUUAUAAGUAAAUAGUGAAAAUGUAGUUAAUGUUAUUUAAGUGUGUUAUAUACAUUAAAGAUGUGAAAUAGAGAGGAGGAGGAGGAAAAUUAGAAAAUAUAUGAAUGACUUGUGUAUAAAUCGGUCAUAUAUUCGAUCAUAAUCGAUAAAUGUUGAAUUAGAAAUGAUGUAAUGUUUUAUUUCAAAUAGUUACUAUGAGAUUGAUGAUGAUCUGACUUUAGCUAAAUUAAAAGCUAAAGCGAUAUUUUCAUUGCAAAAUUAAUAAUUUUAUAAAUGUGUUAAUGAAUAGCAUAAUCGAUAAAUUUGAGUUAAAUGGUAAAUACGUAUUAGUAUUGAACUUAAUGAUAUUGAAUUGUAUGAGAAGUAAAUGGAAAUUUCUAUUGCUAGUGAUAUGAUUUUAAUUAAAAGAAUUAUUGUGAUAUUAAAAUGUAUAUUGGAUUGAGAAAUUGAUUUGAAUUGUGAACAUGAGAAAUUAUGAAUUGAAUGAAAUGGAAAUGAAGCAUUAAAUUGUUAAGACUUGUGAAUUGCAUGAAUAUAAAUCGAGUCUCGUAGGCCCUAUUUAUUAUGAAUAUAAUAUUUAGAGGAUAUAUUGUGAAGAAUUAUAAAAGCAUGUUAAAAAUUUAAAAGUUUUAAUUUAGAUGAAAUUUUAUAAUAUGGUUAAAUACGUUUACAAGUGUAUGUGUUCUAGUAAUGCAUCACACCCUAUUCCGGCGACGGAUACGGGUAAGGGGUGUUGCAUAAAUUCAGUUAUUUUACUUAGAAAAUUACUAAAGUUAGUCGAGUAAGUAGUGUAUGGAUUGGUUAUACUUACAAUUGAGAUUCGAUCAUUUGGGUAAUGCUUGUAGGCAUUUGUAUAAUUUUGCCCAUUUUGCAGCAUAGUAUAGUUCAACUUAAGCUAGUAUGUGCAUGUACAAAGCUCAUAACUAAUAUAUUUGAUAUUAGUUAAUAUUAUGAAUUGAUAUGGCUAGUUGUGGCUUAAAUAUGCACACGUGGGAAAGCUUAUAGAAAGGAUGUAUUGUUGUAAGCUAAGUAUAUGAAAGUGACAUAUGAUUGAUACUUAUUUAGGUAUCUAAAUGCCUUAUUAUAUAGUCAUAAGGUUCGACUAAUAGAAUUAUAAUGUAUAUGUAUUAUGAUAUGAUGUUUUAUAAUAGUAAAAUAUGUUUGGUUAGUUGGUUAAGUGGUACACAUGUAUGAUUGUUAUAGAUUGAUGACCAUAUGGUUUGAAUUUGGUAAUUAUGGAACUAGUUCAAUUUGGUUUUUCGUAAGUUACCUUGAUGAAAAAUUUGAUUUGGUAAUCGGAAUGAAAUUGGUUGAAUUUUGAUAUAUGCUUUAUUUGUGAUAUAUGACUAUUAAAGUAUGAUUGAUUUGGAUUGGCUUUAUGAUUCAUAUGUUCGAAUUUAGUAUAAAUGAUUUGUGGACAUUCAAGUUUAAUAAUGUUAUAAUUGUAUCUUGAUAAUUCGGUACAUGAAAGUAAAAUAUGACUUUGAUGUAUGUUAGUUAAUAUUACUUAUUGUAUGUUUAGAAAUGAAUGACUCUCUGAGCUGUAUUUUGAUUGGUAAUGCCUCGUAACCCUAAUCUAGUGAUGGAUACGAGUUAGGGGUGUUACAUCUAUGUAUUUUAUUGAUGUCGCUCUUUUAUAGUGACAUUGUAGGUCCACAGAUGAGAAACAAGGUGGAGCCACAAUUGGGACUUGGGAGGAGUUUCAAAAAGAAUUCAAGGGGCAAUUUUACCGAGAAUAUGUCGAGGAUGAGGCUCAGGUUAAGUUGCGUCGACUUACGUAACAAGGCAUAAUCAGGGAGUAUAUGAAGGAGUUUAGUGGAUCAUGUUCUAUAUUUUUUAUUUGGGUGAGAAAAAGACAUUUUUCUCCCUUAUGGAUAGGCUGAAACCUUGGGCGGAGCAACAAUUGCAACGUCGAGCAGUCAAAGAACUUAUCAAAGCAAUGAUCGUAGCAAAGUCCUUAAUUAAGUUUGUUCCGAGGAAAGACGAGUUCAAGUCUUCCAAGACCAAUGAGACGGGUAAUGUUGUGGGAGACAAAGAAUGACAUGUUAAAAAUGACAAUGGUGAAAAUGGUGGUAAUGAGAAACUACAAAAUAAGAAGUGAAUCCGGAAGGCCCCUAUAUUAUAGGGAUUAUAUCAAAUUAGUCUCUCUAUAAAUGUACAAUUUAGUCAAAAAGAAUCAAAUAAGCCUUAAUUGUAAUAGAGUGAUCUAUCAAGUAUAGUCACCUUUUCUAAAACCAUUAGUUUGAAGUCAUUUUCAUUCUCUCUUCUUGAUAUGUCUUCUUGUUUUUUUUAAUUAUUUUGAAGGAUUAUCUUCAAUCCCAACCUUUAUUUUUUAAAUGUCUUCUUUUUGGUUAUUAUAAAAAAUCAUCUUCAAUCACAAUCAAAUUGGAAUCUUCAUUCUUUUUAAAAUUUUUGAGGUAACUAAUAGUCCUUAAACUUCUUCAAGCUUUUGUAACACCCCUUAAAUUUUACAGUAUGGUAAACAACACUAUUCUAAGAAUCACUACAAUGAAUUUUUGAGAAAAUUCAAUAAUGAGAAAAUAAAGAGAGUUUUUAGAAGGGACUAUAAUUAUUUAUUUUUGGAAAUCAAUGAAGUAAAUUUGGUAUGUGGAAUUGUGAAAAAAAUGACUAAAUUGUAAAAUUAAGAAAGUAAGAGAACUAAAGUAUAAAGUAACUAAUUUGAGAAAUUAUGGAUUGAUAAUGAUUUGUAAAUAUUAAGCCGACAUGAGACAUGUAUUAUCAAGGAAAAGCAAGUUUGGACUUAAUUGAAUAAAAUGAAAAGUAUAGGGCUCAAAUUACAAACUUCUCAUUUUGACUAGAAUAUAGGUAAAAGUAUCAUUUUCACCAUUUAUGGACUUAUUUAAGGGAUAUAUUUGAAUUUUGAUUUUUUGUUUGGAUAAGUGCUCAUUGUUGUAAAGAAAUUGUACAAAUAAACAAAAAGAAUAAUAUGAUAAGUUUGCCAUAAUCGGAUACUUUAGUCAUUUAUCAAGUACUUUACGAUGGAAAUAUUAUUUUAUUGGUAUUUUUAAUGUAUGGAAUUAAUUUGAAUUUUUAUGAUGAUAUGAGAGAAGAUAUAAAGUGUUAAGUGUCAUAUUUGGUAUUAAUUAAAGAGAAGUGAUAAGAGAAGGGACAAAGGUACAAUUUUACCAUUAAAAAUAUAUUUUGGGACUUAUCAUGAAUAUUUUAAUGAAAUUAUGGACUUUAUUUUAAUUGUGUUAUUAUGAGAAAAUUUAUGGUCAUAUAUUCCGGAUUUUUCAUUCAUGAAUCAAGGUAGAUUACUUGAGGUGAAUCUAGGGAGGCUGGCAGGGGCCCCGACCUCCCCUAAAAUGAAAAAUUGUUGUUUUAGCCUUUUAGAAAAUUUUAAAAUUUUAAAUUAAUAAAUAUAAAAUUGCACUUUUGGUGCCUCCUAAAAUUAUAAAAAUUUAAUUUAAUCCUUUAAAAAUUAUAAAGAUAUAGACUAUUAAAAAUUAAAAUUUCAUUUCGGCUCUCCCUAAUUUUUUUUUUUGGUUUCACCUAUGUAGACUACCCAUUUAAAAAUUUGUUUGACUUUGACUAAUCAAAUUAUGAUUUUUUUCCUCUCAUGUGUCGUCCCUCUCUCCUUAAGAAUUGAAAAUAUAUGUCGAAUAAUAUAAAUAUGAAAAUUGCCUCAACCUACUGCAAUUAUCUAAGGAGUAACCACUUCCUCAAGCACUCAUCUAAUUUUUCUAUAAUUUUCAGUAACUUCAAUAACUUCAAAUAUUUGUUGAGGUUUAGGAUGAAUAUUGUGAAGUGUUUUUUUAGGGAUAAUGAAUACAAAGCAAUUUAUGAGAAAAAAUGGAAUAUUACAACAAACACCUAAAAACAGAAACAAAUGUUGGCUAGAAAAUAUAAAAGUUUAAGCCAAUCGAGUCUUAGCUCGAUUGGUAUAGGUAUGUUGACAAUGCAGGAAGACGUGAGUUCGAGUGCGAUGAAAUGCAUUAUCUUCCUAUUUAUGGGUUGGGAUAGGACUAUGAGUAGUUCUAGAUAUUGUGUCAAAAAGAGCAGAUAUGAUCAGAACUUAUAAUGAGAUUGUUCAAAAAAAAGAAUUUUAUCGGGUGUUAGUAUAAGUGGCAUAAAACCAGUGAAUAGAGUUAACAAUUGAACCUGAAUUUUAAAUUUUAAAAAAUACAAGUACUAAAUUCCUAAAAAUACAAAGACCAAGUUCUUAACUUUCAAAAAGUACAAGGACUAUAACCACAUUUUAACCUUUCAUUAAUUAAAGGUUUGUCAAAGUUGAAGCUUAAUUCAAUGAUCUAUGUUAUAAAAUAUAUCUUAACCCGGCCACCUUAAGCUUUUAUUAUGGUCUAUUAAUUUAUGUUCACGACCACCUUCAACUUUUUUAUGAUCCACUAAUUUACAAUCAUAAACUUAGACUUUCUUACAGUCUAUUGAUUUAUGAUCAUGACCUUUUACUUACGAGAUUUUAUUAAUCUCACGGUCCGCUAAUUUACGAUCAUGACAUUUUACUUACAAGAUUUUAUGAAUCUCGCAAUUAGCUGAUUUACGAUCACAAAAUUUAACUUUCUUAUAAUCCACUAAUUUACAAUCACAACAUUUUACUUACAAUUUGCAAUAGUCAAUAAAUUUUCGAGUUCAAACUUGCUUGGUAAACCCUUAGUUACAUGUAUGCGUGUAAAUUUAUCUCCAAAGACUCAAUUUAUAACUCUACUUCAAUAAGUUAGGAGACAAAUUGUUAUAAAAUAAUCUUAACCUGACCCAAGAUCCAAUUCAAAAUCCAAGCCGGAAGAAACCACCUUAUAUACAUUUCUAAAUACCCUCUUAAGAAUACCGACUCGAGAGAAUAUCUUUUAUCUUCCUCUUCACCCUAACAUAUUUUUUCUCCCUACCCCACCCAACCAGAAACUGUAACAACAAUCUAUAUUGUAAACUGGGAAUAUCAAAUUGCUCUAAUCAUGCAAAUAAGUUGUUAGUUUUAGUUGCCUUAAAACAACUUUUGUACCGAUAUUUAUAAAUUUAUUUAUAUUUUAUCUAUAAUAUACCAACAGAACUUUAUGGUGUUCAAGUAAAAGCACCAAGAAAAAUGCAAUCAAAUGUCUGACCCAACUCCAUCCCCAACCAGUGGUUAAACCAAAUCCUUCAGUUAGCAAUUCCAGAUUCAGACAAAACACACGACUGUGCUACGUCUUUCCUAACUCGACCACAAUCACACUAAUGUUGUCUUUGCUACCCCUAGACAUUGCGAGUUCAACCAACACCGCCGCUGCUUCAGAAGCGCGGUUUUGAUUCAAAACAUCAGCUGUUUUGCUCCUUAUUUGGCCGUUCAGACAUCGCCUUACCACUCGACACGCCACCUCAUUCGAUACCACAUCCCAAAGUCCGUCACUAGCCAGUAUCAGGAACUCGUCACCAUUCGUUACCUCUCGUACGGUCACUUCCGGUUUGCAUAUCACAAAGGGUUUGAGGUACUGAUUACCUGCUUGCAUUCCAUUCCAAAUUACAUUACAUAUGAAUAGAAUAUUAUGUACGUAAUUGCAAAUAUAUUUGGUUACCUAUGGAUCUUGAAGUGGCCAGUACUCCAAGCACUCGAUAUCCAUUCCAGUUUAUGACCCUUCCACCAGCAGCUUCAACUCUCUCCAACUCAUCAGGCCUGUCGGGCUUUGCAAAAACAAAGUGUCAACAUGGGAGGCCACCACCACUACCUGCCCCUUUAUCUUCGUCCUUAAGCUCAGUAUAAUAUGCUAUUGAAUAAUUUUUUUUUUCAUUCCAAUAAAAUCCGUAGGACCAAGUUCUAUACUUAUAAAAGCUGUACAUCGCAAUAAUAACAGUUUGGAAGGAGCGACAAUAGAUAGUAUAUAAACAUAAUGAUUAAGCAUGCAUCAAUAUAGGUCAAAGUAGAGGCAAAGAAAACAAGUGUAAAGAAAAAGGGGGCAAAUUGAAAGAGUUGUAAAGUUAAAUUAGUAUAUAAAUAUAAGCAUCAUCCUUGAUUACCCUAAAGGGAUGGCGAGCUUAAUCCUCUUAUUGCUAAUUAGACAUUAUUUGUGGAAAACGAAGAGCUUCAGUCUAGCUUUGAGAUUCAGAUACUUCCACUCAUUUCCCAUAUAUAUGAAGUUACACCUCCAUCGAAUUGAAGAUUUCAUGGUUUCAUAGUUUCCAAUUAAAUCUUUAAGAAUAUUCAACAGGUUGAGUCCAUAAUAAUUUUCAUCAGAAGCAAAAGCUAUAAUUUGGGAGCCAGGGGUGCUUAAGCAAGCGACUCUAUAUCUUUUAUACAAAGCCUUCUCUUGGCUUAAACAUUCGAACAAGGUAUAGUUGGAUUCAGCUGGUUGGGAUCUAUAAUCUUUUAGGCCGCUGAAACUUGGUUGUUCCUCCGCGAAUGGAAAGGCAGAUAAAUUGAGAUCUAAAAGCUGCUGCCAGAGGCAACGGCCGGGAACGUAGAAGUCAAUCCGUUGAGCUUCAUAAUCUAUGUGCUUCACCAAUAGCUUCAGCGAACGUGGUAUCUUCAGCAGGGUCUGUUUGUUUUCUGAGCAGGAAAGCUGAAACCCAGGAUGAGGAUAGCCGCAGUGGGGAGACUGCUGGCCUUCUAAACGGAAGGGGAAACGGACAGGUGGAUCCUGGUGGUUGCACCGCCGCACCUUGCAGUCGUCUUGGAUUGGCACUGCUUCUGCAACAUUCACAGCUAAGAUAAAGCAGAAUAACGAGUAAAUUAACAUUGUUCUUACUAACUUGUGAGCCCCUGAAGUGAAACGGGCUUUAAAUAGUUUCAUUGACAUAGGUGGUUCAGCCCUUGAGAGUUCCAAUUAUGCACGCAACGCAGCUGCUGCUUUACUACAUAGCUUUGUCUCGUUUAACAGGGUCUUCAACUCUUCGUCCUCUCUUUGUCCUCUUUUAUGAGUAAAUGUUGGACAUGUUUGAUUGUUAGCAACCCUUUCUAACCUUGUUACUAAUUUUCUUUUAUUCCCGUUAGUUGUAGUAAAAUUUGAGGAAAAAACACUGAACAUGAGAAUGACUACCGAUUUGCUGUUGUGAUCAUAGUGGGGUCAGCUUGACUGACUUUUGUUUUUCCACCUUCGUUUCACUACAUUUUGUUUGGUAUGACUAAGAAGUUGACUGACUUUUAUGGGUUCUUUUUAAUGUCUAUCGUUUCCUUUCCAAUGUAGGUGGUUUUUUUAUCACUUUCUUUUUUUUCUAAUUUAUCUUUUAUUUUUGGAUUUUAAUUAAAAAUGGCAAAACUCGAAUCAUAUGUUUUUAAAUUACUUCUUUUAGAUACAACAAAUUUUUUAGAAGUGGAUACAAGACAAUGAGAUGAUUUUUUCCACAUGAGUAUGAAACAAUUAUAGGCAUUGUUUGCUCUACUCACCUUAUCUCGAAAUAAUCUUUUACCUUUCUUUGUAUAUAAUUAUUAAAAUGAUAAAAAUGUAAUAAUAUAUUAUAGGAAAAAUUCAUAUGUUUUAUAUUUAUAUUUUUAAAAAAUUAUGUUUAAAUAUUUUCUUGUCUUAAAAAAAGUAAAAUUAUUAAAAUAACUAGAAAUAAAAAUUAAAUUAAAGUAGAGCGAAGAAAGGUGAGAUGGGAUGGGGAUGAAUGCUUCUAAUAUCUAUGCGGUUAUAGUAAUUUUUCAGAUUAUACAUCCAAAGUGGAGAGAGGUGGGUGGUGGAGUAAAGCAUGUCAACUGUGGAGCGAUGAUGGAUUUGACAACAUUUAACCUGUCUUGCUCCAUUGCAUAAUGCUUAAUAGUAUGCCUUCUUUUUUUAUUAAAUCAUUACAAUCAAUUUUGAAUUGAUACUGUUCAGAUAAACCAAAUAGUUUCAUUUAAGUGAUAAAUCGAAACAAUAAAAUCUGUGGAUCAAAGUCUAUAAUCAAUGUGCAUAGUAUCGCCCAAUUGAUCAAAUAGGACUCUUUUAACCCUUUUAAAUUGGCAUGAGUCAUAGAACACAUGGAGAAGCCCAUCCACUUGAAGCAUUGGUGGCUCAGUGAAAUACUCCGGUAAAACUAGAGUUACCAUGGUGAAUAUUUGUAAUCCUAAGGGAUUAAAUUAUUAACUUAAUUGCAGAAAUACCAAAAUUCAAGAAUAUUUUAGUAAUUUUCUAUUUUCCUCGAAUUUCCACCCAAUCUUGAUCUAAAUUGAUAUUUCAUUCAAUUUAUUAACUUAAAUAAUAAAACAAUUCAUUUCAUGCAAUUUGGUCACUUUUUGACAUUUUUACCAAUUUACCCUUAAAAUAUUAUUUUUAUUCAAUUUAGUCCUUGAACCUAAAACAUGCAAAUUGGUUAUUUUUAAUUAAAACUCAUGCUAGUUGAACAAUCAUUUAUUUUCCUCCUCCUCCUCUCCAUUCCACAUCCUUAAUGUAUAAUAUGCUUAUAUGUAACAUUUCUAUAAUUCCACCAUUUAUUUAUAUAUUAAUUCAAAGCUAUCAACUUGAGUCAUAGUCACUAAAUCAUUUAUAUCUUUAGCUACGGAACUCCGAAUUAAGAUCCGCUAAAUUCCUAUGAAACUAGACUCGUAUAUCUUCUUACCAUAAAAUUUUAAGAAUUUUUGGUUUAGCCAAUAAGUACAGUUUAUUUUUUAAAUUUUUUCCUAUUUCACUGUUUGACAGUUCUGAACCCUCUUGACUAAAAAUUAAUUAUCUCUUUUUACAGAAUUUGGAUGAUAUUUCCGUUUUUUUCUAUUGAAAAUGGAACCAUUAAUUAUUUUAAAAAUAUAAAUUUAAGCCUAUAAUUAUUUUUAUUCAAUUUUUUAUGAUUUUUCAAAUUCAAAAUAGGGGAACCCGAAUUCAUUCUGACCUUGUCUCACAAAAUUUAUUAUAUCUCAUGAUUUACAAUUCCAUUACUUACACCGUUUAUUCUAUGAGAAACUACACUUAAUAAGCUUUAAUUCCAUGUUUUUUUCAUCCUAUAAUUCGAUUUCCAAAAUUUAUGGUGAUUUUUCAAAUUUAACCUACUGCUGCUGUCCAAAACUGUUUUAGUGCAAGAUGUUGAUUACUAAGUUUAUAACUCCCUUAUUCCCUUUCUCUAUAAUAUUUCCCAUCAUUUUCACUUAUUUCCCUUCACUAAUAUAUCAAGAACAUAAGACUUUAUUUAAGAAAACUCUACUAUAACAUCAUUUCCAUACUUUUUCAACAAUAACAAACUUAAAAAUAUAUUGAAAUCUUGAAGUUCUUACCUUGUGCUAUUGAUUUCAAUCUUUAACUUGAUUUUCUCUCUCCUCCAGCUUCUUUUUCUUGAAUCUAACUUGACAUUCUAGCUCCCCAUUGUCUCUUUAUUAUUUUUCUCUCUUGGAAGCUAUGGAAAUUCUUUUGUUUUCUAGGUGAAAAUAGUGAAUUUUUGGUGAAAGGACCAAAUUGUAAAGAAAGAAAAACUUUCUUUCUUCUCUUCUCUUCUAACGUUGGUUGCAUGGAAAGAUGAUGAUUUUUCAUCAUCUUUCCUCCCUUUUAUAUUAAUCAUCUAAUAAUAAAAUAAUACUAAAAAUCUUAAUAAAAUAUUAAUUAAAUAACAUUUAUCUAAUUAAUUAAUUAAAAAUAUCACAAACAUCAUCAUUACCUUCUAGAAUUCUCUCUCUAUUUGACCAUUUUGCCCUUUAUAAUCUUUUGAAAUUUCAUUCUUGAGUCAUCACUUAAUUUGGAAAAGUUACAAUUUAGUCCCUCAAAGUUCCUCACUUUUUCAAUUUGGUCCUAAUUCAUCCAUUUUCCUUAGUUUCUAGAUUAUUCCACCCUUAAAAUAUUUACACUAUUUGUCCUUCAAAUUUUUCAUAUUUACACUUCAACCCCUUAAAUUUUGAGUAUUUACUCUUGGGCAACAAAACUUUUCUCACGUUUGCAAUUUAAUCCUUUAUUGAAUUAAUAUAUCAUAAUAUACUUCCCAAUGUUGACAUAACUCAAUAUUACCUUUUUUAUCACUUUAUUUCCUUAUUUUACUAUAUCAAUGAUAUUAUCUUACUUUAUUACUGUAGUAAAUUUCGGGGUAUUACACAGGGAGUAUAUGAAGGAGUUCAGUGGAUCAUGUUCCAUAUUUUUUAAUUGGGUGAGAAAGAGACAUUUUUCUCCCUUAUAGAUAGGUUGAAACCUUGGGCGAAGCAACAUUUGCAACGUCGAGGGGUCAAAGAUCUUACCAAAGCAAUGAUCGUGGUGGAGUCCUUAAUUAAGCUUGUUCCAAGGAAAGAAAAGUUUGAGUCUUCCAAGACCAAUGAGAUGGGUAUUGUUGUGGGAGACGAAGAAGGACAUGUUAAAAAUGACAAUGGUGAAAAUGGUGGUAAUGAGAAACUGCAUAAUGAGAACUGAAUCUAGGAGGCCCUUGUAUUAUAGGGAUUAGAUCAAAUUAGUCUCUCUAAAAAUGUACAAUAUAGCCAAAAAGAAUCAAAUAAGUCUUAAUUGUAAUAGAGUGAUCUAUACAGUCACCUUUUCUAAAACCAUUAGUUUGAAGUCAUUUAAUUAUUCUGAAGGAUUAUCUUCAAUCCCAACCUUUUUUAUUUUGAAAUGUCUUUUUUUUUGUUAUUAGAAAAUUCAUCUUUAAUCACAAUCAAAUUGGAAUAUUCAUUCUUUUUAAAACUUUGAGGUAAUUAAUAGUCCUUAAACUUCUUCAAGCAUUUGUAACACCCCUUAAAUUUUACAGUAUGGUAAACAACAUUAUUCUAAGAAUCACUACAAUGAAUUUUUGAGAAAAUUCAAUAAUGAGAAAGUAAAGAGAAUUUUUAGAAGGGACUAUAAUUAUUUAUUUUUGGAAAUCAAUGAAGUAAAUUUGGUAUGUGGAAUUGUGAAAAAAAUGACUAAAUUGUAAAAUUAGGAAAGUUUGAGAACUAAAGUAUAAAGUAACUAAUUUGAGAAAUUAUGGAUUGAUAAUGAUUUGUAAAUAUUAAGCCGACAUGAGACAUGUAUUAUCAAGGAAAAGCAAGUUUGGACUUAAUUGAAUAAAAUGAAAAGUAUAGUGCUCAAAUUACAUAUUUCCCAUUUUGACUAGAAUAUAGGUAAAAGUAUCAUUUUCACCAUUUAUGGACUUAAAGGGAUAUAUUUGAAAUUUGCUUUUUUUUUGGAUAAGUGCUCAUUGUUGUGAAGAAAUUGUACAAAUAAACAAAAAGAAUAAUAUGAUAAGUUUGCCAUAAUCGGAUACUUUAGUCAUUUAUCAAGUACUUUAUGUUGGAAGUAUUAUUUUAUUGAUAUUUUUAAUGCAUGGAAUUAAUUUGGAUUUUGAUGAUGAUAUGAGAAGAUAUAAAGCAUUAAGUGUCAUAUUUGGUAUUAAUUAAAGAGAAGUGAUAUAAUAGAAGGGACAAAAGGUACAAUUUUGCCAUUAAAAAUAUAUUUCUUGACUUAUCAUGAAUAUUUUAAUAAAAAUUAUGGACUUUAUUUUAAUUGUGUUAUUAUGAGAAAAUUUAUGGUCAUAUAUUUUAAAUUUUUUGUUCAUGAAACAAAGUGGACUACCAGAGGUGAAUCUAGGGGGGCUGGCAGAGGUCUUGACCUCCCUUAAAAUGGAAAAUUAUUGUUUUGGGCCUUUAGAAAAUUUUAAAAUUUUAAAUUAGUAAAUAUAAAAUUACACUUUUGUCCCCCUAAAAUUAUGAAAAUUUAAUUUAAUCCUUUAAAAAUUAUAAAGAUAUAGACUAUUAAAAACUAAAAUUUCAUUUCGGCUCCCCCUAAAAAUUUUUUUUGGCUUCACCCCUGUGGACUACCCAUUUAAAAAUUUGUUUGACUUUUGACUAAUCAAAUUGUGAUUUUUUUCCUCUCAUGUGCCGUCCCUCUCUCCUUAAGAAUUGAAAAUAUUUGUCGAAUAAUAAUAGAAAUAACAAAUCCUUCUUCGAGAUGUCCAGUGAUUUCUGUGUUCUUUUUUUUUAAUGAGAUAAAGGAAUUAAUCAAGAUGUGUGUGCAAGAAAUUGAAGAAUUUGGAAACAAGUGUAGAAGAAUUUUAGGAACAUUGUGGAGUAUUCAAUGAAAUUCUCAAGAGAAAAGAUAGACAUAUAUUGCCAAUCCAAUAAAAGUAAAAUGAGAUUCCGAAAAUGUUUAAUAAUGAAUCAUUUGUAAAGGAUGAAAGUGAAGUGAGAUUAUCUUGAAGUAGACAUUACGGAGGAAAUAGUACUCAUUAAAGCUAGAAAAAAAAAGUUAAGUGUUGAUCGUUGACACUAAGAAAGUGUAUCACAAAGGAAGUGCGAAGAAGAGAUACAAGUAUUCGAAGAUGGUAAUAAAGACUUACGAGGAUUGGAAAGUGAUAAUUAAUGGAAACCAUAUAAGAGAGGUGAAAUAUAACAUUCUAAAGCUUGACCUAGAAACCUAAUCGAAUUUGGAGUGUUAUUGUGGUCAUCAGAGCAACCUGCAUGAUCAAUCGUUCAUUCAAUCACAUUAAAAUAUAAAAAAAUUAGACAUACACACAACAAGUCAUUUAACAAAACUUAAUCAUAUAAUCAUUGAGUUCCUAAAUCAAAAUCAAAACACCCAAACUGACCAAUUAGCAAAUCCUAAGUACAUGUCAAACUAUACUAUUUCAAGGGUUUUUACAAAAUAAGAAUUGCGGAGACUCUGAGGCGAUGUCUGCUCUGACUCAAACUCACAAACUAUUUGAUCCAAAUAUUACCUAUGCACGGAAUUAAUAACCCGUACAUCGGGCUUUUCAGAGCUUGGUGGAGACCAAAACAGUCUAAACUACUAAUGCAUAUAAUUGAAAAUAAAAACAUUUUAAUCAAAUACAACUAUAUAUAUAUGCAAUAAUUCGAGGAGUGAAAGUCACACUCAAUAAAAAUUGUCAGAGACGCAAUACAAUCAUGAAUCAGUCACAAAAUAACAUUUAUGUAAUAGCCCAAUUUUGACCUUAAUCGGAUAUAGUGGUUUCGAAACCAUGAAUUCGAGUCAGAAAAAUAUUUUUUAUAUUAUUUUUAGUGUUUAUUAUAUUUUAAGUUAUAGGUGUGAAAAAUUCGUGUGGAAAUUUUAUUGUUUAAAGGUUCAAUUUGAUAAAAAAUGAUUUAAUCGCGUAAAAUAAAAAUUUAGAGGUUAAAUUUUAAAAGCACUUAUUUGUUGUUGUCUUUUUAAGUGGGAGGUCUAGAGAUGUAAUUAGACCAAAAUAUAGUUAGUGGAUGACAUAUGACAACAUUGUCCCUUACAUAUAUGUUUUAUAUAUUUAUUAUAAUAAGGUUAAUUAAGUAAUUUAAUAAUUAUAAUGUAUAAAUGUUAAAAUAAACUAAGAAAAGAUGAUUUUUAUCAUCUUUGAAAGCCGAAUGUGUAAGAGAACUCAUGCAUGGUUUCUUGUUGAAUGUUCGGCACUUUUAAAGACAAAUUAAGGUAUGGGUUGGUUUCAGUUUUUGAUAAUUUUUACGUUUUUGAGAUCGUUGUUUCGAAUACUAUCCGACCCAUGUUUGAAUUUUUAAUUUUGAUGAAUAUUUUGAGUUGUGCCAUUGAUGAACAUUUGUGUUAUGUGAUGUUUGAUGAUGAAUAAUGAAAGAUACAUUUUAGAUUAAUAUGUUUUGUAUUGGAAGUUUUGGUGAAAUUGAGUAAUUAGAGUUAAAUUGUGAAAUUAAAUUUUUGAGGGAUUAAAAUGUGAAAUAAAUGAAAUGUGAGGAUUGGUAUGAACAAUAGGUACAUUCGGCCCUUAAGGAGUGUAGUCAAAAUUUGUGUAUUUUGUGUUUUGAGCAAAAAGGAUUAAAUUGUAAAAAGUGUGAAAUGUUAGGGGCAAAAUUGUAAUUUGCCCAUAUAUAUGUUCUUAGACUAAUUGAAUGAAAAAAAAAUGUUUAAAUGAGAUUUUUUUGAAUAUGUUUAGAUCAAGAAACCAAGAAAUCGAAUUUAGAUCGGGGGAAAUCGAAAGUAGUUGAGUAGCCGAUCUAUUAGUCGACGACAUCCGAGGUAAGUUAUUAAGCAUAUAUAUAUAAUUGUGUAUUUUUAAAAUCAGCUUAGUAUUUAUGUAAUUAUGCUGAAUUGAAUGAUAUAUAAAUAUACAUGUAGUGAUAAAAUUAUUGAAAUAAGAUAUAUUGAGUUGUUGACUUUUGACACUAAGUGUGCGAAUUUAAUUGUAAAGCACUAAUUGUGCAAGUUUAAUUGAAAAGCACUAAGUGUGCGAGUUUAAUGGUAAAGCACUAAGUGUGCGAACUUAUUAAAUAUUUUCGAAUAACUAUUAGCAUUGAGUAUUUGUUUUUUUUUUUUUUGAGAAAUUAUGAUUAGUAAAAUGAGUAAAUACUUGGAAUUUUUGUGGUUGUAUUUAAGGUUAAGCUUUGUAGGUAUUAAACCUAUGUGGUGAUUAUAUUUGGAAUUAUAUAUAUAUAUAAUAUGAUUCUUUAUAUUACAUGGUGAGGAACUGCAUAAUGUAUUUGGUCUUGUGAUUAAAUUUGAAGAAAUGUUUAUGGUUAUGUAAUUAUAUUGAUUUAGUUAAAUCAUAGUAAUAAGUGAAUAAUUAUCUUAUGAUAUGGUAAGCUAAAGGUAAGAUGAUUUAGUAGUAUGAAUUGGUUGAAUAUUAUUUAAGAUAUCGGUUUAAAUAGUAGAGUUUAUUUGCUUAUAACUUACUAAGCUAAAUUAGCUUACAAUGUGUUGGAUAAUUGUUUUUUUUUUAUGUAUAGAUUUUGGUGAUUGCUACGUGUUCGGGGAUCGUCAGCUAAGUUCGUCACACUAUCGAUAUUUUCUUUUGGUACUUUACUAAAUCGUUUUCAAAUAUAUGGCAUGUAUAGCAUAGUUAAAAUAUUGAAUUUGGAACUAAUGUGUAUAUGUAUUUAAAAGCCAUGCGAAAGAGGCUUAUAUAUAUUUUUUUUUUUGGACUUGAAUUUGGUUUGGAUGCAUGUGUUUAAUGAUUAUGAGUGUGGUAUAUGCUUAUGGUAUUAUUAUAUGGAGGGAUUAUUUGUUCUUGGUAUAUAUAUAUAUUGGGCUACAAUGGAAUUAAUGAAUAGUUAAUUAAAGUUAGUUGCAAGAUGUGUACACGUAUGGUUGUGUAAAAAAAUGUGGAUUUCUAACUUAAAAAUGUGUGAGAGUAGAUAUUAAUAAGCAUGCUAUAUAUAUAUAUAUAUAUAUUCAUAUAUGUGCAUGGUAUGUUUGAUUUUGGUAUGUUAAGGGUUUGGCAUUGUAUAUAGGUAAUGACUUAAAAUAAGUCUAGUUCAUGACUAGCUGCUUAUUAAAUUAUGUUUAUAAUAAUUCGGUCUUAACUUAGCUCUGCUUUGAAAUUAUGUGAUAUGAUUUGAAUGGUUAUGUUUAAUUUGAUUUUAUAUGUGACUAUAAGAUUCGGCCAUGAUGUAAUAUUAUUAUGUAUGUAUGUAUAUAUAUAUAUAUAUUCAUUUGAUUAGUAAUAGAUAUACUUAUUAAUGCCGCAUAUGAAAUAGAGGAUAGGUUUUGUAACAUAUUUUGUUUAGUCCAUUAAGUACAUGUUUAUUAAUAAGCAUAAAGAUGAUAAAAAAAAUCAUUAUAUAUAUUUUUUAUACCAUUUUAAUGAUAAACACACGAUUCGUGUAUUUAUUUUGAAGCAUAAGUUGUAUGGAUUUAAGGCAUGAUUUUUUUUAAGGUGUAAAUAUGAUUAUAUUCAUGAGAUACUAUAUUUGUUUUGUGAUUAAUAAUGUAUGUAUAAUUUGUAAUUAGUCUCUUUUUUUUCAGUAAUACCUCAUAACCCUAAUCUGGCGACGGACACGGGUUAGGCGUGUUACAAUUUAAAAUAACAAUAAAACAAUAUAAGACAUUCAAUAAAUAUCGAUGGUGUUUUGAUUCAAUGUUCAAGUUCAUUAAAUAAUUUUUCUCAAAUAACACAAGAAGGAAAGAUAUUCGAACACACGAGUGUCCAACCAAACACCAAAUGAUCAAUGAAAUUAGUGCAAGUGCCAACAAUAACAAUAUUCCAUUGGGAGAUAAUGCAACUUAGUCUAUAAUCAACCAUCACACUAAAUGCACAAAACGCAACAAUGACAAUGCUCCUGAAUGCUUAAGACAGUUCCACAAUAAACAAUGAUGGAGAUUCCUCCACCUUACGAGAUGUGGCUUAUACCAAAACAUUUCAAUUAUUAAAAUAGUAAUUAACAAUGAUUUUCGGAACAUAACCAAUUAAUAAAAAUAACAUUUUAAAAAUAGUAACCAUAAUUAAAAUCAAUUUAAUAAACUGCCACACAAGUAAAAAUUCAUAUGCAAGGAAUCAAAAUAUCAGUCCACUAAGCCAAUAAUUUAAUUGCAACAUUAACAUAAUUUAAAACGUAACGAUUACAAACUAAUUUUUUAAAUGUUGGUUGCUUAGGAUCACAUGCACUAUAAACGUAAGGACCACCGUUGAAAGCCAUGCAAAAAUCUACAAUUUUAUAUUUAUAUGUGUAUAUAUACACAUAUACAUAUACACGUAAACACUAUAAAUCAUGCCAACCAUUAACAAAGCCAUGCAAAUAUUUAUAUUUAUAUAUUUCAUAUAUUUAUACAUUCACAUGCACAUAACUAAAUACGACAUCAUGCAAAUAUAGUUAUGUACAGAAUAUUGAUAUAUUAUCUCAUUAAUUUUAAAAAUAAACAACACCAAAAGACCAAGCUUUACACUACUCACACGACAUAACAUUGGUUUCACGAAUCCUCAAAGCACUACUCCCUCUGGGCUUUCUACGAUUUAACAGCAACCUGCUUUGUCUUUAUUUGGUUGUGGCUUCUAUGCAGAUUAGACGAGAGGCUUCAAUGGAUGAUAUAAAAGAGGUGGUGUUGGUCAGUGGUGGGCAGAGGUGGCCUGAUGUCGGUGCAAGGAGAUCAACGGUUAGGACCAGGGUGACUGUGGAGCGAUGAGAUGUUGGGGCGACGGAAGAACUCACGAUGGCGAUGAGAGGGCGGACAAUGGUGCAUUGAUGGAGAUGACUCCAAGGCAGCGUGAUGAAAGGGAGGGACGACUUGGGGCAGUUGGCUGACGGUGUGGCGACUAAGAGGAUCGGUGCUUAGUGAUGGAAUGAAGGAGACAAUGCCUGACGUUGGGGAGUGAAAGGUGGUAAUCAGUCUUUUAUUAGGGGUAGAAUUCUACAAAAGAAGGGUUUUGAUAGUAGGAAAGUUUGACCAAAUGUGUAUUCUUUCUUAGUUGUAACUCUGAAACCUAAUUGAUGAUGAUGAUGAUGAUGAUGAUAGAGCACACACGCCCAGGCCACCACUCUGUCAACUAAGUUGUUUAAGGGCUAAUUCCAAUAUUUGUCCCCAAUUAAUUGCUGAGGUUUCAAUUUAAUCCAUAAAUCAAGAUCAAAAUUCAAUUAGUCUUAAAAUUAAACUAAAAAAUCAAAUAAGUUCAUAAUACACAAAAAAUCACUAAAAAUAUAAAUUUUAUCCUAAUGUUCCAAAAUUCCGAAAAUAUAUUUAUCGAACUUAUCUCGAUUUUGUGUGAAAUCAUAGUUGGAAAUUUUGGAGUGUUUCACGAAAUUAUCCAUCAAAGUGCCUUAAGAAGUAGUAGUCGAGUAGUGCGUUGUUAAAAGUUCCUAGAAAGAUGUUAACAUUGGAUAUUAAAUGAGCAUCGUGGAUGGAAAAGAGGACAUCAAAAUACGAGUAUAGAGAUUUGUAGCUUGCUACCAGAGGCAAAGCUAGUUGCUGGUAGGGCUUGACCUCCCUUUAAAUGGAAUAAUUUCAUUUAUACUCUUAUAUAGUUUAUAAAAUUUUAAAUUAGUAAUAAAAAAAUUUAUACUUUGACCUCCUUUAAAAAUUAUAAAGAUAUUAUAAAAAUAUAUAAUUUAAUUUCACCCCUAAAACAAAUUUUUGGUUUCCCGGAUUAUAGAAAAGCUAUAAUCGUGUUAUGAAGUGAUAAUGGGUAAAUAAGUAUAAGAGAAAUGAGUUGAAAAGUAGGAAGAGAGAAGUAUGUAUUUGGUAUUGAGAUCAUAUGAGUUGGGAAGUUAAAUCGUGGGUUGACGUGAACGGAUAAGGCACGCAUUGGAUGUGUGGGAAGAGAUUUAAGUCAAGAAGAAAAGUGACAGUAAUUUGAAGUAAACAAUGAAGGUUAUGCACAUGCUCAAAAGGAAAAGUUAUGAUCAUUUGAUGGGGAUGAGUCAAGAUAAGAUAGCCAAUUAAAGGUGCAAAAUUAACCCAAGUUGAGAUGAAUAUGGUGAAUAUAAGCUUGUUAACCCAAGUUGAGUGACAUGUCAAGUUAUAACAAUCAAGUGAAAAUGAUUGAUGUGGUAUAUUAAAAUUAUAUGUUAGUGACAUAUAUGGUAUGGAAGACAUUAGAAGAUAAGAAACUUAUGAUUCGUGCUAAGGUUAAGAUUUAUAGAUAUUUGAUGAAUCAAAGGACAUCUUGUGCAAUGUGAAAGAUAAAGAGGGAAAUUUAUUUAGGGUUCAACAUUUAAGUGAAGCAAAUUAUAAGGUUGUGAAAACCGUUAAAAGGAUAAAAUGUAAAUUUUAGAAUAUAAAAAAAUUAAAUUGAAUUAAUGGAAAAAAAAAUGACAAAGAGGUAAUUUUUACUUAAUUUACUUUACUGAAAGUAAAUGGAUAAUUAUGGAAUUAGAGAAUAAAGAAAAUUGGGGAAAAAAGAAGGAGGAGGAGGAGAAGUGUUGUCAUGAUUAUGACCCUUGGAUAUUAUGGAAGAGGUGAAGAAAUAAUUGCAAUUGGAUAUUAAUUAUGAUGAUGGGAUUUUUAUUAAUGUUUUAAUUAUAUUAAUUGCUAUAUGGCCGUGUGUCAAGCCAUGUGGCUCAAAUGAACGUGUGGAAGAGGUCAGUCUAUGUGGCUCCUGUACUUGUUCUGAUUUUCGAUUCUUGAUAAGUGUCAAAAGUAACAUAUUUUAAUCUCAUUCUUAAUUCAUUUUUAGAUGAUUAAUCAAUGCAAAACGGUAAAAUUUAUGCUCAUAAUCCUUUAAAUUCAUAUUUCUAUACUUAUAAGAGCAUUUGAGAGAAAAAUUAGUGAAAACGAAGCGAAAAUCAAAAAAUUGGAGCAGAUUUCAAGAGCCACACGAGUUGGACACAUGGUCAUGUGAGCCACACGGGCUGCCACACGGCCAUGUGCCAGAUAGAGACACAUGGUCAUGUGAGCCACACGCCAUGUGCCAGAUAGAGGUGCUCAUGGGCCGGGCCCGGCCGGGUUCGGGCCGGGCCCAUAAAAAAUUUCGGCCCGGGUCCUAGGCCCGGCCCGACCCGGCCCGAAAUAUGGGCCUAAGAUUUUGCCCAGGCCCGGCCCGGGAAAAAAAUCAUAAGCCCGGGCCCGGCCCGUCCCAUUUUUAUUUUAAAAAUUUUAAAAAAAUUAAAAAAAGUAUUUUAAAAAUAUUUUAAAAUUAAAAAAAAAUUAAAAAAGUAUUUUGAAAAUAUUUUAAAAUUAAAAAAUUUUUAAAAAGUAUUUUAAAAAUAUUUUAAAAUUAAAAAAGUAUGUAAAAAAUAUUUUAAAAUAAAAAAAAAUAUUUAUUAUAUCGGGCAGGGCCGGGCCCGGGCCGAAAAAGUGGUGCCCGAGGCCCGGCCCAUUUUCUAAACGGGCCUCGUUUUUUUGCCCAAGCCCAUAUUUCGGGCCUAUAUUUUUACCCAAAUCCUCUCAUAUUUCGGGCGGGCCGUCGGGCCGAGCCGGGCCACCCGGCCCAUGAGCACCUCUAGUGCCAGACCGUGUGGAUUUCGCAUUUCACACUCCAAAUAUGUGGAAUCACGCAAUUUUUAAGUUUUUCGGGCAUUCUUAGACCUAUAUAUACCAAAUAUAUGGAGAGAAGUAAGAGCCGUCAGAGAAUAUUGAAGAAAACAACUCAAAAGACAUCAUUGAAGUCGACUUUGAAACAAAUUUCUACUAAGAUUGAAGAUCUCCUUUUGAUUUCUUUGAAGUUUAUUAUGAGUUUUUUUAUUUCUUGUGGUUAUACUGUCUUUGAGAUGUUUUUACUCUCGAUUAUGAACUAAUUUUCUAAAGAUGAACCUUAUGACAAAUUUUGUCUUUUGACUUCUAUUUUAUGCAAUGAAUAAUUAAAUCUUGUUCUCAGUUAUGUGUGCUAAAUUUUUUAUUUAAUAUUUUCAAAUUAUUAAUUCAUGUUUGAUAUGCUUAAUUCAGAGUAGAUCUAGCAUAAUUCAAUGGAGUUGCAUGUAAUCCUAGAAAUAGGACAACAUAAAUCUACCCUGUUAGAGUCAAAUCUAAUAGAAGAAUUCAUAAAUCGAGUCGGUACGAUAAUAGGGAUUUCAAUUAAUCCGUAAAUAUCCCAAAAUAAUAUUCGACUUAUACGAUACAUUUCUAAAGUUGCGAAAGAGUACCUUGGGUGCAAUAUGGCCCAUGGUACCUCUAACUGUUGUCAUUGAAAUAGCAUUUUGUUCCUUGGAACACAAUUUAGCAAGGCCUGAAUGGAGGAUACGUUACUAGCCUUGAUGCAGGUACUCGAUGCCUUUGGUUACACCGACAAUAAUAUCCUGAAGUUUUUCCCAACUAAGGGAUCGAUCCGUACCCUUAGCUUGCAAAUAUGAACUUCUUUAAUGACUCGUUUGGUAGGUAUUCAUAAAUGAGAACUCAGUCAUAUCCAUCGACACAAAACUCAACCAGGCAUGUCACAUUCACAUGGUGGAUUCUGCCCAUCGAACCCACCUCAUUGAUGAACUCUCAAUAUUUAACUAAAGUUUGCUUUUUUACUUUUUUUUUUAUUUUCAUUUUUAAGAAAAUGUUAUUUUAUUAAUUCAAUUAUCAAAAUUAUUAUUAUUUUAUUUAAAUUAGAUUAAUCCUCAUUUAAUUAUUACAAGUAUAUUAUUUUAAAAUUAUAAAAAUUAUUAUUUAAUAAUUAAACAAAUAAACAUUUAAAAUCACAUACAUUACAUUAAAAACUAGUAUAUCUAAAUAUAUAUUUUACCACUUAUUUUAAUCUUGUUAUUUUUAAUUUCAUCAAAAUUAUUAUAUAUCACUCGAGCCACUGCGACUGCUGACCGGUGAUUAUUGCCUGCAUAAUUUGAUGAAAGGUUCUGAAUUAAUACAUCCAAGACUUUUAUGAGCAUCGCCAUUGACUGACCGACGACUUGUAUGAAAGAAUUUUCCACGUACGUUAGCUUUAUUACUGGACUGAUUUUUCAAAGAAAGACUUGCUCUCAAUUGGAGCCAUAAAACAAAUGAAUGAUUGGCAUUUUACAUUAAAGAGCAUCCCAUUGUUUAUUUCUUCAUCGGAGCUCCACCGGAACUUGAUGAUGUUAAGACCCAGACUUUUCUUGUUUAGCAUCUUUGCCCUUACUUUAUCUCUAUCCCCAGAUGUUUCCGAUGGUAGAGCAGGCAAAAGCAACCACUGUGGCCCAUCUUUGUGUGGACACGUUAAUAUCAGACACCCUUUCCGACUAAAAGGUCAGCCUCGUCGAUGUGGUGACCGUAGGUAUGAAUUAGAAUGCAAGAGAAACCGCACCAGUUUUCCCAUGAAAUACGGAAACUUUUAUGUCCUAAACAUCUCUUAUGUUGACCGAACGCUUCGACUUGUGGAUGUGAGUCUGGUCGAUGAAAACUGCUCAAUUCCUCGCAGUUCCAUUGUCUAUUAUCCAUACAGCUAUCAAGAAGACAUAAAUUAUGGAAGACACACCAUGUAUCUGGUAAAUUGCACGACAAGGAUGAAGUCUUCUUCAGUUUAUGUCGAUGCUUCUCGUUGCCCAACCAAUAGCUCUUCUUCUCCUUGGACCUACUUCUACUUUCCAGUCUCGUUUUCAAAUAUAUCCGAUUUCCAUCAUUCGUGUAGAUUUAUAGCCCAGUUUCCUGUCAUGCUUUCCAAUAUUAGUGGCUUAUCCCCUUCUUACAUUUACAAAAACCUGUUGGAAGGCGUCGAGGUGUCCUGGUAUAGACCCUUUAGUUUUUGGCCUUCAAACCCGGUUCUCAAAGUGUAAGAGACUUCGAUCUUUAGAUUCUUUCAAUCUAUAACUUUUCAAGGCCUUAUUUAUUGAUUGGUUGCUUUUUUUUUCCUUGGGGGGGGGGGGGGUUAUUCUAGCUUGCUACAGUUGGUGAUCUAUUCACUACGUCCAAUUUUAGCAUACAUAGUAAGCAAUGUGGCCUUUCUUCUACCGGGAAUCAUCGGCCAUUAUCCUUUUGGGAAAGGUUAAUCUUUCAGAUUUCAUAAGUAUCUUUAUUUAUUGGAUUUGCCCUUGAAUUGUAUUCGAGUUAGUAAUAUUAUUGUUCAAUUUGCGUUUUAAACAGGAGCCACCUUCGUUUGUCUUGCAGUAUCAGGUAAAUCUCUUUCCCUUCCCACUUUUUAUGUUAUCUUUAUAAAAUAAUCAUGAAUGCUGAUUUAUCCAUGUGUAUGCACCUUGAUGGGCAAGCAGGCAUAUUGUUAGCGAGAACUUUGUUGGGGAUAUUCUGCCUCAUUACACUUGUCAUAUGCAAACUAAAGAGGAGGCAUUUGUCGAUGGAUGAUGAUAUCGAAAACUUUCUUCAAAGUCAAAAUAAUUUAAUACCUAUUCGAUAUUCGUAUUCUGAAAUAAAAAGAAUUACGGAAGGUUUUAAAGUUAAAUUAGGUCAAGGUGGUUAUGGUUCUGUGUUUAAAGGAAAGCUUCGCAGUGGUCGGCUAGUGGCAAUAAAAAUGUUAGAUAAAUCCAAAGCAAAUGGAGAAGAUUUCAUCAAUGAAGUUGCUACUAUUGGAAGAAUUCAUCAUAUUAAUGUAGUGCAACUUAUUGGGUUUUGUGUAGAGAGAUCAAAACAAGCUCUUGUAUAUGAUUUUAUGGUGAAUGGGUCUCUGGAUAAAAUUAUAUUUUCAAAGGAGAAUUGCACUUUAAGUUGGCAAAAAUUAUUUGAUGUUGCACUUGGUGUGGCUCGAGGAAUUGAAUACUUGCACCGGGGUUGUCAAAUGCAAAUUUUGCAUUUUGAUAUCAAGCCGCACAACAUUCUUUUGGAUGAAAACUUUAUCCCUAAAGUUUCUGAUUUUGGUCUUGCAAAAUUAUAUUCAGUGGAUGACAGUAUUAUUUCUCUCACAGCGGCUCGUGGUACAUUAGGAUACAUUGCUCCUGAAUUAUUUUACAGAAAUAUUGGAGGCAUCUCAUAUAAAGCCGAUAUUUAUAGUUUUGGAAUGUUAUUAAUGGAAAUGGUGGGAAGAAGAAAGAAUUUGAAUGCAUUUGAUGAUCAUUCUAGUCAAAUUUAUUUUCCGUCAUGGAUUUAUGAUCGAUUUGAACAAAGAGAGAACAUAGAAUUAGGGGAUGUAACAGAAGUUGAUGACAAAAUAGCAAGGAAGAUGAUAAUGGUUGCAUUUUGGUGCAUACAAAUGAAUCCCACUAAUCGUCCUUCAAUGAGCAAAGUUUUGGAAAUGCUCGAAAAUGAACAUGAUCAACUUGAAUUGCCGUCCAGACCUUCACUAUUUUCUCUCGAAAAGUCGACUGAAGAUCAUGUUUGUAAGAAUGUAUCGGAGGAACCAUCAACGUCAAAAAGUUGUGUGGACAUCUAAGUAUAAUGUUUGAUUUUAUUCGGACCUUUUAUACAUAUAGUUCUGCAAGUACUGUAAGCUUUUAAUUUGUAGCAUUUCAUGCUCAGUUGUAUAAUAUCCAGCAUCAUGUAAUACGACUAUUAAUGGAUGUGUGUUUUAGACUUUAGCUCCUUAGCUUCAUGUUUCAAUUAUUAAAAAUGUCUCCUUUUCACCAUAUAAUGAGUUAAUAUCAAAUUCGUUAACAAUUAUUUAGUAUGUAAGUGACUCUUAACAUUGCGUGAUCUCAUGAGAAAGUUUUUACUCUCUUAUCGUAAUAUGUAAUCAUGCUGAUAAAAGUAACUUGUAAUAAUUAUGAGUGUGGUGUGGCGGUUGCUCACUUUAUUUUUUAAUCAUGUAGUCAGGGUUUGAGUUCCGCUCAUAGAAAUGGAAUACCUUCCAACGAUGAAUAUCUUAAUUUUGACAAUUAAACAACAUUUAAGAUAGAAUCUUUUCAUUUAUUAGUAGAAUUUAUAUACUAACAGCCAUGCAGCAUUUCAUUUAUGAGUUCAAAUAAAAUCUUAGCAUUGGUGUAAUAUGAGUGUGCUAAUAGGUGAUUUCAAGUUUCAACUGAUUCUAGUACUACUAACAAUGAGGCUCGAGACUGUUCUUAUUCCAUUUCUGAAAUAGUGGGUAGAUCUCUGUUAACCGGCUUCCUAGGUAUGGUGGCACCCAUCGUCUUCGGUGGAUCUGUUGACACAAAAGGAUUUGGGGGCAUUGUAAGAACGUCAAGCUCUCCCUCUAACAUCUGAACCACCACUUUCAUCGAAGGACGAUCAACGGGAUACCACUGAAUGCACCAAAGUCCAACGAUCAUGAGUUUCUUUUCUAUCCCUGUUUGUGCAUCAUCUUCAAUUCGAAUCCCGAACUCCUCUCCUUUAUCCAAACGAUCAUAUGCCCAUUCUGGGAAAUACACUUGGCUUGUAUUCUCGACCAUAACAUCUAUGUUCUUUCUCCCCCCAACCAUUUCAAGCAACAGCAUUCCAAAACUAUAAACAUCAGACUUAUAUGACACAUUUCUGAAGUUGCGAGACAGUACCUCUGGUGCAAUAUAGCCCAUGGUACCUCUUGUUGGCACAUAAUUAAAUUAACCUUGCACAAAUAAAUUAUGAAAAGUUAGAAGAGUGAAGAGACUUGAAUAUGAAUAGUGAAGAGACUUGAAGAUGAAAAGUUAAGAGUCUUGAAUAUGAAAGGAUACACACAUGCAUGAAUAGUCACAACUCCUAGCAUAUAGUGAUUUAGAUGAAUAGUCACUUACAACUCCUAUAUAAAGAGUUGUAUGUAAUGAAGAAUAAUUAACUUGUGUGCUUGAAAUAAAAGCUUAUUUGAAAGAAUUUUUCCAUACAAAAUUUAUUUCUCUUCUCCAUUAUAUUCUUUAUCAUUUUCUUUGUUUUAUUUCUCCAAAUAUUAAUUAUUCAACUACAAAUUGGUAUCAGAGCCUUGUUCGAUCGAAAUGAACAAUUCUAUUCCUCUUUCUUCCGUUCCCCAAUUAACCAAAGAAAAUUAUGGCAAAUGGAGUAUCCAAAUGAAGGCUCUUCUUGGAUCUCUAGAAGUUUGGGAGAUUGUUGAAAAAGGUUAUAAUGAAGUUGAGGCUGAAGAGGAGGAAGGAUUAUCACAAGUUCAAAAAGAGGGUUUAAGAAAAUCAAGGAAAAAAAAUAAACAAGCCUUAUUUUGGAUAUAUCAAGGAGUUCAAUCAAAUGAAGCAGCAUGGGAAAAAAUAGCUUGUGCCACCACGGCAAAACAAGCAUGGGAGGUUUUACAAAAUUCUUUCAAAGGAGAUGAAAAGGUGAAAAGAGUUCGGUUGCAAACUCUUCGAGGGGAGUUUGAAAGAUUGCAAAAAAUAGAGUCGGAAUCAGUUUUUGAUUACUGUUCACGAGUUUUGUCCAUAGUCAACCAAUUGAAAAGAAAUGGUGAAACUAUGGAUGAUAGUCGUGGUGUUGAAAAAAUCCUCCGUUCUUUGGAUUCUAGAUUUGAUUACAUUGUGGUAGCCAUUGAAGAAUCAAAGGACUUGAGUACCAUGACUAUUGAUGAACUCACAGGUUCGUUGCAAGCCCAUGAAGAAAGAUUAAACAAGAAGAAGAAGGAAGUAGAUCUAGAUCAAGCACUCCAGUCAAAGUUGUCUCUAAAUGAGAAGAAAGGAGAAUUUAAAAAUCAAAGAGGGAGAGAUCGUGGAAGAGGAAGAAAUUUUAGAGGAAGAGGCUCAAAUGCUCGUCAAAGAUAUGAAAAUACAAGCACGGAGAAUGGAUGGAAAGAAGCCAGCCAAAGUCAGAAUUUUAGAGGAUCACAAAGAGUACGUGGACGUGGAAAUCAAAGAGGAAGAGGUCGUGGCUAUUUUGAAUGUUAUCAUUGUCGCAAACCUGGUCAUUUGGCAAGUGAAUGCUGGUACAAGAAAGAAGAGAAAAAUGAAGCUAAUAUAGUACAAAAUAAUCAAGAGCAAAAGCAAGAAACUUUGUUGCUCGUGUCUCAUGGUGGAGAGAUUGAUGAUGUCUGGUACAUAGACAGUGGUGCUAGCAAGGCUAUGACAGGUAACAAAAAUUUAUUUUCGAAGUUCUUUGAAUCUGAUUGUGGAGAAGUAAAAGUAGGAGAUGGCAAUGCUUACAAAGUUAGCGGUGUUGGUGAGUUGGAGUUCAAAACAAAGCAAGGAAGGGUAGAGAAAAUGUCUGAAGUUUAUUUUGUUCCCGGACUUAAAAAUAAUCUGCUUAGUGUUGGGCAUCUUUUAAAGAAGGGGUAUGAUAUUCAUUUUCGUGACAUGGCUUGCUAUUUAUCAAGGAAAAAUCAGGUUGUUGCUAGAGUUGGAGUGGCAUCAAAUAAUCUUUUCUCUCUCACCCUUCAAAAUCAGAAUAUGUCUUGUUUUAUUGGUGCUCAUAAAGGAGUUUCAAAGUUAUGGCAUGAUAGAUAUGGACAUUUGAACUAUGGAAAUUUGGAGAUGCUUUCAAAGAAGAUGAUGGUCAGAGGUUUACCAAAAAUCAAUCGACUUGAUGAUAUUUGUGAAGCAUGUCAACUUGGAAAGCAACACAAAAUUACUUUUCCUUCUCAAUCAUCGUGGAAAGCAAGAAGACCAUUGCAACUUAUUCACUCAGAUCUUUGUGGUCCAAUGACAAUUUCAUCUUUGGGAGGUAAUCGUUAUUUUAUCUCUUUCAUUGAUGAUUACUCAAGAAAGUUAUGGGUGUAUUGUGUAAAAGAAAAAUCAGAGGCUUUUCAGAGAUUCAAAGAUUUCAAGGCAGAAGUGGAGAACUUUACUGGGCUAAAAAUUAACACCUUACGGACAGAUCGUGGAGGUGAAUAUUUUUCAAAAGAAUUUGAGAAAUAUUGCCGAGAUAGUGGCAUCCGGCAUGAAAUGACAGUCCGCCAUACACCUCGGCAAAAUGGUGUGUGUGAAAGAAAGAAUAGAACAAUUAUGGAAAUGACUAGAUGUCUUCUUAGGAAGAAGAGGUUAUCAAGAAGAUUUUGGGCUGAAGCUGUUUCUUGUGCAGUUUAUCUUAUAAAUAGAUCACCGACAAGAAGCUUGGAGAAUUGCACACCACAUGAGGCGUGGUAUGGUAUAAAGCCUAGUGUUAGUCAUCUUAGAGUAUUUGGGAGUGUUGCAUACUCUCAUAUUCCAGAUGCAAUGAGAAGCAAGUUGGAUGACAAGUCAGAGAAAUGCAUUUUUAUUGGUUAUAGUGAAAGAAGUAAGGCAUACAAGUUGUACAAUCCGGUGACAAAGAAGAUUGUGAUAAGCCGAGAUGUUCGGUUUGAUGAAAAUUCCAUGUUUGAAGAUAUAGAAGUUGAAAAGGAAAAUUUGCCAAUUUUUCCUUUUGAACUUGAAGAAGAAGAAGAUGCAGUAAUUGAGAAUGCUGAAGAUGAUGCUCAAGUAGGAAAUCCUCCUGCUUCCUCAAGUUCUUCAUCAAAUUCUUCUUCAUCCAGCCCGAUCCGAAAAACGAGAAGCAUCCAAGAGUUAUAUGAUGUAACGGAUGAAGUUGUGCAAAAUGAUGUUGUAUUCUUUGCCUUCUUUGCAGGAGAAGAUCCAAUUUCUUUUGAUGAUGCAUAUCAAGAAGAAAUAUGGAGGAAAGCCAUGAAAGAAGAGAUUUGCUUAAUUGAAAACAAUGAUACAUGGGAACUCACAGAUUUACCGCCGCACAAGAAUUUAAUUGGAGUCAAAUGGGUGUACAAGACAAAGAUGAAUCCGAAUGGCUCUAUCAACAAGUACAAGGCAAGACUGGUUGCAAAAGGAUACAAACAAAAGGAAGGAGAAGAUUUUACAGAGGUAUUUGCUCCAGUUUCAAGACUUGAGACAGUUCGGUUACUUAUUUCUCUUGCUGCCCAAAACAAUUGGAAAAUGUUCCAAAUGGAUGUAAAAUCUGCGUUUUUGAAUGGUGUUCUCAAAGAAUAAGUCUAUGUUGAUCAACCACCAGGGUUUGUCAAAAAAUGAGAAGAAGAAAAAGUUUACAAGUUGAAGAAAGCUUUGUACGGGUUGAAGCAAUCACCCCGAGCUUGGUACAGCCGAAUCGAUUCUUAUUUUCAGAAGUGUGGAUUCCAGAAAUCUCCAUAUGAGCAUACUCUCUACAUCAAAGGCAAUUAUCAAGGAAGAUUCAUGGUUGUUAGUCUCUACGUUGAUGAUCUUAUUUUCACAGGAAAUGAUGUGAAGAUGUUGAAAGAAUUUCAGCACUCAAUGAUGGCAGAAUUUAAGAUGAUAGAUUUGGGAGAACUUCAUCAUUUUCUUGGUAUUGAAGUUCAUCAAUCUAAGAAAGGAAUUUUUAUUUCACAAGAGAGCUACGCAAAGGAAGUUCUAAAAAAGUUCAUGAUGGAAAAUGCGAAUCCAAUCUCUACUCCAUGCAUUACAAGUCUGAAGUUAUCUAAAGAGGGUGAAGGAAAGCUUGUCAAUUCCACCAUAUUCAGAAGUUUGGUUGGGAAGUUGAUGUAUCUGACUUCGACAAGGCCUGACAUCGUGUAUGCUGUUAGUUUGGUGAGUAGAUUCAUGGAGAAACCUUACUCCAAUCACUGGGAGGCUGCUAAGAGAAUAUUGAGAUAUGUGAAGGGAACCAUUGAUUAUGGAAUUUUCUAUAAAGCUAAUACUUAGUUGAUCUCAUUGGUUAUACGGAUAGUGAUUUAGCAGGAAGCAUUGAUGAUAGCAGAAGCACUUCUGGUUAUGUUUUUCACCUUGGGAGUGGUGCAGUUUCAUGGAGUUCAAAGAAACAAUCAAUUGUGGCGCUUUCGACUACAGAAGCUGAAUAUAUCGCUGCAUCUUAUGCAGGAUGUCAAUUGAUUUGGUUACGUGGAAUUUUGGAAAGUCUUAAGCAGAAGCAAAGCAAGUCAACAAUUUUGUUUUGUGACAAUAGUUCUACUAUUUCGGUCACAAAAGAUCCAGUUCUUCAUAGAAGGACAAAACACAUUCGCAUUCGAUAUCACUUCUUGAGGGAACUAGUGAAUAAUGGUGAUGUUCAAGUUGAAUAUUGCAAGACAGAAGAUCAGAUGGCUGAUAUCUUCACAAAGCCUCUAAGUGGACAAGUCUUCAAGAAAAAUGUUGAAAGGUUGGGAGUUCAAAGCAAGUUUAAUUUAAGGGAGGCAUUGUUGGCACAUAAUUAAAUUAACCUUGCACAAAUAAAUUAUGAAAAGUUAGAAGAGUGAAGAGACUUGAAUAUGAAUAGUGAAGAGACUUGAAGAUGAAAAGUUAAGAGGCUUGAAUAUGAAAGGAUACACACAUACAUGAAUAGUCACAACUCCUAGCAUAUAGUGAUAUAGAUGAAUAGUCACUUACAACUCCUAUAUAAAGAGUUGUAUGUGAUGAAGAAUAAUUAACUUGUGUGCUUGAAAUAAAAACUUAUUUGAAAGAAUUUUUCCAUACAAAAUUUAUUUCUCUUCUCCAUUAUAUUCUUUAUCAUUUUCUUUGUUUUAUUUCUCCAAAUAUUAAUUAUUCAACUACACCUCUAGCUGUUGUCAUUGAAAUAGCACUUUGUUCCUUGGAACACAAUUUAGCAAGGCCGAAAUCAGAGAUCUUAGGAUUGAAGUUGUGAUCAAGCAAAAUAUUGUGAGGUUUGAUGUCGAAAUGGAGGAUACGUUGCUCGCAACCUUGAUGCAGGUACUCGAUGCCUUUGGCUACACCGACAGCAAUAUCCUGAAGUUUUUCCCAACUAAGGGAUCAAUCCUUGCCCUUGGCUGCAAAUAUGAACUUCUCUAAUGACUCGUUUGGUAGGUAUUCAUAAACGAGAGCUCGGUCAUAUCCAUCGGCACAAAAGCCAACCAGGCGAGUCACAUUCACAUGGUGGAUUCUGCCCAUCGAACCCACCUCGUUGAAGAACUCUUCACCAUUUCCCUUGAAAUUAUUGAGUACCUUGACAGCAACUAAAACAUCACUGGAAAGUCUGCCUUUGAAGACAGUUCCAUAGCCUCCUUGUCCCAGUUUGUCCUUGAAAUGAUUAGUUAUCCUUUUAAUAUCAGCAUAGGAGUAUCUUGAGGGUUUAAACCCUUUAUAAUCUUCCAAAAACUUUUCAAUCUUGACUUGAAUUUCUUUCUCCUUUUUGUCUAACUGAUAUCUCCACCCAACUGCAAUGGCAAUGGUUGCAGCAAUUGAAGAACCCAACACAAUACCUGCAAAUCAGCAUACAUCCCUCUGUUAUAUCCCGUCUUAAAUUUUUGAAGCUAAAAGGGAAAUUCCAUUUACCUGCAAUCAUUAGCCUUUCUCCCAAACCUGCCAAGCAUUUAAAAUUAUUCAGCUUUGAUACAUGGGAAAUCUAAGAAAAGGGCUCACUGUAAGUUUACAACAUUAAGCUUCACGUUGAUGCAGGCUAAUGAAUUUUUUAACGUACGUUGUACAAUUAUAAUAGUUAAAACAUACCUAUAUGGUGCUUGGGGAUAUCAAAACACUCGGUUUGUUCCUUGGUGCUAUUAUUGUUGUUCAAUCUACAUCCCCUUCCUUGAGCUUCGCAAUCACCACAGUCUGGUUUAUACCAACGUAACUGAAAACGGAUACCAUAAGGAGAAAUGGGUGUUGAGAAGUUGCGAAAGUAGCUGCAAUUCAACAGGUUGAGUCCAUAAUAAUUUUCAUCAGAAGCAAAAGCUAUAAUUUGGGAGCCAGGGGUGCUUAAGCAAGCGACUCUAUAUCUUUUAUACAAAGCCUUCUCUUGGCUUAAACAUUCGAACAAGGUAUAGUUGGAUUCAGCUGGUUGGGAUCUAUAAUCUUUUAGGCCGCUGAAACCUGGUUGUUCCUCCGCGAAUGGAAAGGCAGAUAAAUUGAGAUCUAAAAGCUGCUGCCAGAGGCAACGGCCGGGAACGUAUAAGUCAAUCCGUUGAGCUUCAUAAUCUAUGUGCUUCACCAAUAGCUUCAGCGAACGUGGUAUCUUCAGCAGGGUCUGUUUGUUUUCUGAGCAGGAAAGCUGAAACCCAGGAUGAGGAUAGCCGCAGUGGGGAGACUGCUGGCCUUCUAAACGGAAGGGGAAACGGACAGGUGGAUCCUGGUGGUUGCACCGCCGCACCUUGCAGUCGUCUUGGAUUGGCACUGCUUCUGCAACAUUCACAGCUAAGAUAAAGCAGAAUAACGAGUAAAUUAACAUUGUUCUUACUAACUUGUGAGCCCCUAAAGUGAAACGGGCUUUAAAUAGUUUCAUUGACAUAGGUGGUUCAGCCCUUGAGAGUUCCAAUUAUGCACGCAACGCAGCUGCUGCUUUACUACAUAGCUUUGUCUCGUUUAACAGGGUCUUCAACUCUUCGUCCUCUCUUUGUCCUCUUUUAUGAGUAAAUGUUGGACAUGUUUGAUUGUUAGCAACCCUUUCUAACCUUGUUACUAAUUUUCUUUUAUUCCCGUUAGUUGUAGUAAAAUUUGAGGAAAAAACACUGAACAUGAGAAUGAAUACCGAUUUGCUGUUGUGAUCAUAGUGGGGUCAGCUUGACUGACUUUUGUUUUUCCACCUUCGUUUCACUACAUUUUGUUUGGUAUGACUAAGAAGUUGACUGACUUUUAUGGGUUCUUUUUAAUGUCUAUCGUUUCUUUUCUAAUGUAGGUGGAUUUUUUCUCACUUUCUUUUUUUCUAAUUUAUCUUUUAUUUUUAAAAAUGGCAAAACUCGAAUCAUAUGUUUUUAAAUUACUUAUACAAAUUUUUUUAAAAGUGGAUACAAGACAAUGAGAUGAUUUUUUCCACAUGAGUAUGAAACAAUUAUAGUCAUUGUUUGCUCUACUCACCCUAUCUCGAAAUAAUCUUUUACCUUUUUUUUUGUAUAUAAUUAUUAAAAUGAUAAAAAUGUAAUAAUAUGUUAUAGAAAAAAUUCAUAUGUUUUAUACUUAUAUUUUUUAAAAAUUAUGUUUAAAUAUUUACUUUUCUUAAAAAAAAGUAAAAUUAUUAAAAUAACUAAAAAUAAAAAUUAAAUUAAAGUAGAGCGAAGCAAGGUGAGAUGGGAUGGGGAUGGAUGCUUCUAAUAUCUAUGCGGUGAUAGUAAUUUUUCAGAUUAUACAUCCAACACAAGUAAAAAUUCAUAUGCAAGGAAUCAAAAUAUCAGUCCACUAAGCCAAUAAUUUAAUUACAACAUUAAGAUAAUUGAAAACGUAACGAUUACAAACUAAUUUUUUAAAUGUUGGUUGCUUAAAACGUAAGGAUCACAUGCACUAUAAACGUAAGGACCACCGUUGAAAGCCAUGCAAAAAUCUACAAUUUUAUAUUUAUAUGUGUAUAUAUACACAUAUACAUAUACACGUAAACACUAUAAAUCAUGCCAACCAUUAACAAAGCCAUGCAAAUAUUUAUAUUUAUAUAUUUCAUAUAUUUAUACAUUCACAUGCACAUAACUAAAUACGACAUCAUGCAAAUAUAGUUAUGUACAGAAUAUUGAUAUAUUAUCUCAUCAAUUUUAAAAAUAAACAACACCAAAAGACCAAGCUUUACACUACUCACACGACAUAACAUUGGUUUCACGAAUCCUCAAAGCACUACUCCCUCUGGGCUUUCUAUUAACAGCAACCUCCUUUGUCUUUAUUUGGUUGUGGCUUCUAUGCAGAUUAGACGAGAGGCUUCAAUGGAUGAUAUAAAAGAGGUGGUGUUGGUCAGUGUUGGGCAGAGGUGGCCUGAUGUCGGUGCAAGGAGAUCAACGGUUAGGGACGAGGGUGACUGUGGAGCGAUGAGAUGUUGGGGCGACGGAAGAACUCACGAUGGCGGUGAUAGGGCGGACAAUGGUGCAUUGAUGGAGAUGACUCCAAGGCAGCGUGAUGAAAGGGAGGGACGACUUGGGGCAGUUGGCUGACGGUGUGGCGACUAAGAGGAUCGGUGCUUAGUGAUGGAAUGAAGGAGAUAAUGCCUGACGUUGGGGAGUGAAAGGUGGUAAUCAGUCUUUUAUUAGGUUUGAUAGUAGGAAAGUUUGACCAAAUGUAUUCAUUCUUUAUUAGUCAUAACUCUGAAACCUAAUUGAUGAUGAUGAUAGAGCACACACACCUAAGCCACCACUCUCUCGACUAAUUCCAGUUUUUCCUUGCUUUUCAAAAGUAUUUUUAGAAAAUACUUUUAAAGUACUUUUAAAAAAUUUGAGUAUUUGGUAUUACUAACAUAAAGUGUUUUUGAAAAAUAAAAUAUUUAUUUUAGACAUGAUAUUAUAAAGUAAUAAAUAUGUAUUUAAAUAAUAUUCAAAUUAGUUAAUAUUAUGAUAUUUUAGCAAAAAAAUAAAAAAUAAUUUAUUAUAACUUAUUGUUAAUAUUUUAAUAUAUAAUAUUAAUUUUAAAUAUUUCUAAGUAAUUAAUAUUAAUUAUUUAUUAACUUUAAUUAGAAUAUAUAAACUAUAUUUAAAUAUUUAAAUAUAAUAAUUAAAUAAUUGUAAUUAGAUAUUGACACAACUGUAUUAUUAUAAAAAUUAUUUUUUAUUUUUAAUUAAUACUUUUUAACACAUUUGUAUUAUUUUAUUUUAAAAUGUAUUUGAAUAUAUAACUCAUAUUAGAUAUUAACAUAACAUAGAAAACAUAAACUUAAAAAAUUAAAAUAUUACAUAUAUUUGGAUUAAAGUUUUAAAAAGGGAUAAUAUUUAUAUACCAAAUAUAAAUACUAAAAAUCUUACAAUAGCAUUUACAAUUUAAAGUGAAUUCAUUAAACUAGAAGUUAUAGCAUCUCUUGUUAAUUCCAUUUCAAAACCACUUGAAUUGUUUGAUUCACUGUCAUCAUCACUAUCUUCGUCGUCGUCGUCAUCAUAUCACUUUAUCGACCAUGCGCAUUUUCUGAAUCAAUAAUAUUCUCAUAUGCCCAGUUAAUAUCUUCGUAUUCCAUAAAAUCUACAUCAUUUCGACCGAAAUGUUUUCAGAUAAAAUUGUGUAUCGUCAUUGUAGCAACAACGAUCAUGGUUUGCUUUCAAAAAUAUAACUUGGCAUAUCCCUUAAAAUGGCUCUUUUUUUCAAAACACCAAAAGUUCGUUCAAUUACACUACGUAAUGAUGAAUGUGAAUGAUUGAAUAUCUCUUCUAUACCAGAUAUCGGUCUACUUCUACAAAAGUCAAGUAAAUGAUAUCGCUGAUAUUUUGGUAGGGGUUUUGCUUAUGAUUGCGGCACUCUUUAAUAUGUACCAUUUGCAAUACAUUUAAGUAAAAAUAUUAUUAUAUAUAAAGUCCUAAGGCAGUCAUUAAGAAAACCCAUGUAGUUACUUCAAACAUGUGGUAUUAUUGAUUAUCAAAGUAAUGGCAUUAAAGGCAUGACUUCCCCACUCCACCGGUCCAGCUGCAACUGCAUUAAUGGAGUAAAAAAGACACAUACCUAGCUACAAAACUCAAUUAUGGCUUGUUUCCAAACCUUACCAAACCAUGAACUCAACAUGAUACUUCAAACAAUUGAAUCACCAAACUAAAAGAGAAAAAAAGAAUUUCAAAAACUAGAAUAAAUUGCUUGGAUGUUUAAGUUCAAACCUGGGAAUAUAUAUAUAUAGAAACGCAAAAGCUGAAGCAAAAAGAAAAGAAAAAAGCCAGUGUAACCUCCAGUAAGAAGCUCAAAAGAAUGGAAAUGCUAGCAUUAAUUACCAAUCAGAAUUAAUAUAUAGUAAAGUAAUUAAGUUGAAAAAAAGAACUUUGCAAAUGAAGAAGAGACAGAAAACAACACACAUAAAAAAUGGACAAAGACUGAUGAUGUUUGUAAACCAUCCAGAAAAUAGAAUAAGAAGAGAACAAAUCCAUCAACCACCUCUCUGAAAACUAUCCAUUUGCCAGCAGAGGAACAAAAAACCAGCACCAGCAGAGGAACAUAGAACGAGCGAUGAAAGAAGAGAUGAGAGCAAAGAACCACUGUUGUAUGUGUGGCUAAAAAAGUAAAAGACUAGCCCAAAAGUACUUUUUUGCUGAAAAAGCUAAAAAAUUCUACUUUUUCAUCUGCCCAAAAGCACUUCAAAUAAGUUCGAAAUUUGCUACCAAAUGAAGUCGGUUCUGCAUUGCUUUUUAGAUAAAAGCACUUUUCCUUUACUGAAUUGAAUUAAUGGAAAAAAACGACAAAGAGUGUAAUUUUUACUUUACUUUACUGAAAGUGAAUGGAUAAAUAUGGAAUUAGAGAAUAAAGAAAAUUGGGGAAAAAAGAAGAAGAAGAAGGAGAAGUGUUAUCAUGAUUAUGACCCUUGGAUAUUAUGGAAGAAGUGAAGAAAUAAUUGCAAUUGGAUAUUAAUUAUAAUGUUGGGAUUUUUAUUAAUGUUUUAAUUAUAUUAAUUGUUACAUGGCUGUGUGGCUCAAAUGGACGUGUGGAAGAGGUCAGUUUAUGUGGCUCCCGUACUUGUUUUGAUUUUCGAUUCUUGAUAAGUGUCAAAAGUAACAUAUUUUAAUUUCGUUCUUAAUACGUUUUUAGAUGAUUAAUCAAUGCAAAAUGGUGAAUUUUAUACUCAUAAUCCUUUAAAUUCAUAUUUCUAUACUUAUAAGAGCAUUUUGAGAAAAAAAUGAGUGAAAACGGAGCGAAAAUCAGACAAUUGGAGUAGAUUUCAGGAGCCACACGGGUUGGACACACGGUCAUGUGAGCCACACGAGCUGCCACACGAGCUGCCACACAGCCAUGUGCCAGACCGUGUGGAUUUCGCGUUUCACACUCCAAAUAUGUGGAAUCACGCAGUUUUUAGGUUUUUCGGGCAUUCUUAAACCUAUAUAUACCAAAUAUAAGGAGAGAAGUAAGAGCCGUCAGAGAAUAUUGAAGAAAACAACUCAGAAGACACCAUUGAAGCCAACUUUGAAACAGAUUUCCACUAAGAUUGAAGAUCUCCUUUUGAUUUAUUUGAAGUUUAUUAUGAGUUUCUUUAUUUUUUGUGGUUAUAUUGUCUUUGAGAUGUUUUUAUUCGCGAUUAUGAACUAAUUUUCUAAUACCUAGGGGAGAUGAACCUUAUAAUGAAUUUUGUCUUUUGAUUUCUGUUUUAUGCAAUGAAUAAUUGAAUCUUAUUCUUAGUUAUGUGUGCUUAAUUCUUGAUUUAAUAUUUUCUAAUUAUUAAUUCAUGUUUGAUGUGCUUAAUUCAAAGUAGAUCUAGCAUAAUUGAGUGGAGUUGCAUGUAAUCUUAGAAAUAGGACGACAUAAAUCUACCGAAUUAGGUAUUCAUAAACGAGAACUCAAUCAUAUCCAUCGGCACAAAACCCAACCAGGUGAGUCACAUUUACAUAGUGGAUUCUACCCAUCGAACUCACCUCAUUGAUGAACUCUUAAUAUUUAACUAAAGUUUGCUUUCUACUUUUUUUUUUAUUUCCAUUUUUAAGAAAAUGUUAUUUUAUUAAUUCAAUUAUCAAAAUUAAUAUUAUUUUAUUUAAAUUAGAUUAAUCCUCAUUUAAUUAUUACAAGUAUAUUAUUUUAGAAUUAUAAAAAUUAUUAUUUAAUAAAUUAAACAAAUAAACAUUUAAAAUCACAUACAUUACAUUAAAAACUAAUAUAUCUAAAUAUAUAUUUUACCACUUAUUUUAAUCUUGUUAUUUUUAAUUUCAUCAAAAUUAUAUAUCACUCGAGCCACUGCGACUGCUGACUGGCGAUUAUUGCCUGCAUAAUUUGAUGAAAGGUUCUGAAUUAAUACAUCCAAGACUUUUAUGAGCAUCGCCAUUGACUGACCGACGACUUGUAUGAAAGAAUUUUCCACAUUAGCUUUAUUAUGGACUGAUUUUUCAAAGAAAGACUUGCUCUCAGUUGCAGCCAUAAAAUAAAUGAAUGAUUGGCAUUUUACAUUAAAGAACAUCCCAUUGUUUAUUUCUUCAUCGGAGCUCCACCGGAACCUGAUGAUGUUAAGACCCAGACUUGUCUUGUUUAGCGUCUUUGCCCUUACUUUAUCUCUAUCCCCAGAUGUUUCCGAUGGUAGAGCAGGCAAAAGCAACCACUGCAACCCAUCUUUGUGUGGACACGUUAAUAUCAGUCACCCUUUCCGCCUAAAAGGUCAGCCUCGUGGAUGUGGUGACCGUAGGUUUGAAUUAGAGUGCAAGAGAAACCGCACCAGUUUUCCCACGAAAUACGGAAACUUUUAUGUCCUAAACAUCUCUUAUGUUUACGGAACGCUUCGACUUGUGGAUGUGAGUCUGGUCGAUGAAAACUGCUCAAUUCCUCGCAGUUCCAUUGUCUAUUCUCCAUACAGCUAUCAAGAAGACAUAAAUUAUGGAAGACACACCAUGUAUCUGGUAAAUUGCACGACAAGGAUGAAGUCUUCUUCAGUUUAUGUCGAUGCUUCUCGUUGCCCAACCAAUAGCUCUUCUUCUCCUUGGACCUACUUCUACUUUCCGGUCUCGUUUUCAAAUAUAUCCGAUUUCCAUCAUUCGUGCAGAUUUAUAGCCCAGUUUCCUGUCAUGCUUUCCAAUAUUAGUGGCUUAUCCCCUUCGUACAUUUACAAAAACCUGUUGGAAGGCGUCGACGUGUACUGGUAUAUACCCUAUACUGAUUGGACUUUAAACCCGAUUCUCAAAGUGUAAGAGACUUCGAUCUUUAGAUUCCUUCAAUCUAUAACUUUUCAAGGUCUUAUUUAUUGAUUGGUUGCUUUUGUUUUUCCUUGGGGGGGGGGGGGGGGGGGUUAUUCUAGCUUGGUGAACUAUCUGCUACUUCCAAUUACAGCAUACAUAGUAAGCAAUGUGGCCUUUCUUCUACCGGGAAUCUUCGGCCAUUAUCCUUUUGGGAAAGGUUAAUCUUUCAGAUUUCAUAAGUAUCUUUAUUUAUUGGAUUUGCCCUUGAAUUGUAUUCGAGUUAGUAAUAUUAUUGUUCAAUUUGCGUUUUAAACAGGAGCCACCUUCGUUUGUCUUGCAGUAUCAGGUAAAUCUCUUUCCCUUCCCACUUUUUAUGUUAUCUUUAUAAAAUAAUCAUGAAUGCUGAUUUAUCCAUGUGUAUGCACCUUGAUGGGCAAGCAGGCAUAUUGUUAGCGAGAACUUUGUUGGGGAUAUUCUGCCUCAUUACACUUGUCAUACGCAAACUAAAGAGGAGGCAUUUGUCGAUGGAUGAUGAUAUCAAAAACUUUCUUUAAAGUCAAAAUAAUUUAAUACCUAUUCGAUAUUCGUAUUCUGAAAUAAAAAGAAUUACGGAAGGUUUUAAAGUUAAAUUAGGUCAAGGUGGUUAUGGUUCUGUGUUUAAAGGAAAGCUUCGCAGUGGUCGGCUAGUGGCAAUAAAAAUGUUAGAUAAAUCCAAAGCAAAUGGAGAAGAUUUCAUCAAUGAAGUUGCUACUAUUGGAAGAAUUCAUCAUAUUAAUGUAGUGCAACUUAUUGGGUUUUGUGUAGAGAGAUCAAAACAAGCUCUUGUAUAUGAUUUUAUGGUGAAUGGGUCUCUGGAUAAAAUUAUAUUUUCAAAGGAGAAUUGCACUUUAAGUUGGCAAAAAUUAUUUGAUGUUGCACUUGGUGUGGCUCGAGGAAUUGAAUACUUGCACCGAGGUUGUCAAAUGCAAAUUUUGCAUUUUGAUAUCAAGCCGCACAACAUUCUUUUGGAUGAAAACUUUAUCCCUAAAGUUUCUGAUUUUGGUCUUGCAAAAUUAUAUUCAGUGGAUGACAGUAUUAUUUCUCUCACAGCGGCUCGUGGUACAUUAGGAUACAUUGCUCCUGAAUUAUUUUACAGAAAUAUUGGAGGCAUCUCAUAUAAAGCCGAUAUUUAUAGUUUUGGAAUGUUAUUAAUGGAAAUGGUGGGAAGAAGAAAGAAUUUGAAUGCAUUUGAUGAUCAUUCUAGUCAAAUUUAUUUUCCGUCAUGGAUUUAUGAUCGAUUUGAACAAAGAGAGAACAUAGAAUUAGGGGAUGUAACAGAAGUUGAUGACAAAAUAGCAAGGAAGAUGAUCAUGGUUGCUUUUUGGUGCAUACAAAUGAAUCCCACUAAUCGUCCUUCAAUGAGCAAAGUUUUGGAAAUGCUCGAAAAUGAACUUGAUCAACUUGAAUUGCCGUCCAGACCUUCACUAUUUUCUCUCGAAAAGUCGAUUGAAGAUCAUGUUAGUAAGAAUGUAUCGGAGGAACCAUCAACGUCAAAAAGUUGUGUGGACCUCUAAGUAUAAUUUUUGAUUUUAUUCGGACCUUUUAUUCAUAUAGUUCUGCAACUGUAAGGUUUUAAUUUGUAGCAUUUCAUGUUCAGUUGUAUAAUAUCCAGCAUCAUGUAAUACAACUAUUAAUGGAUGUGUGUUUUAGACUUUAGCUCCUUAGCUUCAUGUUUCAAUUAUUAAAAAUGUCUCCUUGUCACCAUAUAAUGAGUUAAUAUCAAAUUCGUUUACAAUUAUUUAGUAUAUAAGUGACUCUUAACAUUGUGUGAUCUCAUGAGAAGGUUUUUACUCUCUUAUCGUAAUAUGUAAUCAUGAUGAUAAGAGUAUCUGAUACGGGGUUGCGCGCGGACCAAGAUCGAGUUGCCAAAUCACGAGAAACUCCUACGAAAACCCUAAACAAUCAGAUCUGAAACGAAACAGAAAAUUAAAAGAUUAGAUUUUUGAAUUUUCAAAUCUGAAAUAAAAUCCCCAAAUCAGCAAAGAAUCAAAUUGAGAAUAGAAAUAAGUGUUAGGGUUAUUGAAACCCUCAAGGAGAUUGUGAUUCUGCCCAAUUGAACACCAAGAUAGUUUUCCCCAAAUUUCGACAAUCUAAUUUCACCCAAAAAGAGUAUGGAAAAACCCUAGAAAUUGGGGAUUUUUGGGCUGAUUCCUUAAGAUAGAAAAAGGCUGAAAACGCAAUAAGAACAAAAAAUAGAUUAGAUAAUGAUUCAGCACAAGUAGAAAUAAAGAAAGAAUUGACAGUAAGAAAUUAAAAGAUAAGUCCUAAGAAGCCUUGAAAUCCCGAAAGAUCUCACAACUCCCUUCAAACGGCUCUAAUCUCCCCUCCAAAGAAUAUCAAUGGCAAGAAGAAGGUUGAAGAUGGCUCCCACAAUCAAAAAGAUUGUUAAAACAACUUCUAAAGAAAACUCAAGAGAAAAUCCUUGAAGAACUCAAAGAGAAUUUUCACUCAAAUCAAAUCUGAAAUUUUCAAUGUAAUUGUAAUGUAAUGUAGGGUGGCUGGCCAAGCCAUAUAAAUAGGCCUUUCAAAUGUUUUCCUAAUUUAAUUAGAACACUAAAACUAAAACUAAAAAAAACUCCUAAUUAUUUUAAUAUGGAAAUUCGGCCAAGGGUCUUUUAUUUGGGACUCUUGGACUGAAUAUAAAAAUUUAAACUAAGUAAAAUAAAUAAAUAAAUAAAUAAAAAUAAAACUUUACAACUUGGGCCACUUUGACAAUUUGGCCUGAUUUUCAACUAAGUAUGGAUGGAUUUCUUGAUUGGGCUGGGAAUUUGCUUAUUGGGCCUCGCCUUCAAGAAUUUGGGCUUUUGUGACUCGUAUCAUUCCCCCUUCCUCAAAAAGAUUCGUCCUCGAAUCUGAAAAAUCAAAUGAACUCGACUUUCCUCUAUCGAACGGGACUAAUGGCAAUUGAGUCCACUGAGAAGAAUAGCCAUGAGAUAGUAAAUAGCAACGGAAAUAAGCUUGUAGUCCAAUCAUAAGCAUAAUAGAACAGGUAUAACGCAUGUGAAUGGAUAGAUUCAGAUUACCAUGCAAACAAUCUAAUUUACUCACCACUGCCUCGUCAAAUAUUUGAAACAAAGAUGGACAUGUUUUAAGGCAUUCAGUCGUCUCACAUUGUUCCCACAAACCAUGAAUAAAUUGCGAGUAAUAAAUCAAAUGGUAAACAUAAUCGUCACAAGUAGGUAUUUGAAAAGAUUCACAUGGUUCACAGAGUUGCAUAAUCAUACCAUGCAUUAAUCGACGGUCUAUAGAUUCACUCACACAUGCAUUAUCAAAAACAAGAAUCUUUUUAUCAACCAUCAAAACAGAUAGAUCAUCAAUAAAUAAAAUAGGACAGUCAAGCACGUUUCGAUCUAAGUGUUCAUCAACACGAUCUUUAUCACUAUCCGAGGAGUACAAAAGUGUUUCAAAGGUUUCAAGCAUCUUACCUCGAUAAGCAGAAGAAUAAGGGUCGAUUUUACCUUUUUCAUUUAAAACAAACCUUCGCUCAUCGGGGGCAUAGUGUAGUCGAAUCUUCGUUGUUGAGUUAACGUUUGUCAAAUGGAACUCAAACUUCAUGUACAACCACAUAAACUGUUUAAGACACGAAUAUAAAUUGAAAACAAAUUUGGAAAAUUUCAUUACCUUAUUCUCCAAAACAGAUUUGGACAAAUUCGAGGAUUUUACACAAGGUAAAUCAAGAGAAUAAGAAAUCACGCUUCUUUUCGUAAUGACUUUAUCAACCACAAUCGAAGAGUAACAAUUAAUCGGAUCAAAAUGAGGGGAUCUUUUAAGAACUAAGUCACCAAAAGUUUGAUCAAUAAUUUUCAAAUCUGCACUGGACUCGGUUUCUAAAAUUUCCUUACCUCGCUUACCUUCGGGAUCAUGUAGUGUGAUUUCAUCUUUGCCUAAGUUGAUCGUAUGAAAGCGUCUUUCAUUUGAGAGGUAUUGAAGUUGAAAGUUAUCUUUCGAUCUUUCGGGAACCUGAAAAGUAGCAACACAAGAAAAAUUCAUAUCUUGGUUAGUGGAAACAUUCCUCACUAUCCUUUCCACGUCUUUUUCUUUUGUUUCUUUUUCUAAUUCAUUUUCUCUUCUUUCUUCAAUUUCUUUUUCACUCUCAAUCUCUUUUUGCUCUUUUUCAUUCUCUUUUUCUUUUUCCUCACUUGUUUUAACAGAAUUUUUCAGUUUGAUUUGGUCCUCAUGGACUUAUUCCGGAGUGAGCGGCACUAAGGUGAGUUUCUUUCCUUGAUGCUUGAAAGAAUACCUAUUGGUAUGACCAUCGUGAGUGACUUUUCGAUCCAGUUGCCAUGGUUCUCCUAGCAACAAAUGGCAGGCUUGAAUAGGCAUUACGUCGCACACAACUUCGUCUUGAUACUUACCAAUAGAAAAGGCGAUGCGCACUUGUUGAGUGACCCUAAAUUGGCCUUCGUUGCUAAGCCCUUGUAGUUGAUAAGGUUGUGGAUGCUUGGUAGUGGUUAAGCAAAGCUUUUCCACCAUCGUCGUGCUGGCUAUGUUCGAGCAACUUUCACCAUCAAUAAUAACUCUACAAAGCUUACCUUGUACGUGGCAGCGAGUAUGAAAGAGAUGUUCUCGUUGCUGCUCGCUCUUUGGUUUUGCCAAAGAUGAUUGUCCAUGAUCAUGACAAUCAUCAUCCAUUCUAGGGACACGUUCAGGGUUGCACCUAUGGGGCUGGUUAUCCCUAUCUUCCUUAAUUGGAUCUCGAUAUUGAUGUUUUUGAUUCACUCGUACCUCAUUCAAAGUAGUAUUCAAUGCUUGAAGUGUAGCAUUUAUUUGUGUGAUUGCAGCAGUAUGUCUGUCUAACUGUUGUUGGACUUUCAUAAGUGCAUCAUUAUUACCACCUUUAGACAUCUUCAAAACCUGUAAAAAAUAAACACUCAAAAAUAAAAGUUAGCAAACCUCACCAUUAAUCACUCAAAAAGAAAAAUCAAAUUCUCAAUGAGGUCGAAUUCAAUCUUGUGAGUUCUUUAUCAGAGUUUAUAUCAACCAAUUAGAGAGUGUGAACCAAACUACCAAAGAAUCCUAAUUUGCACUAGGAUGCCAAAAACUGACGAGACACCAAGUGAUUCGUGUUGCACCGAGGAAGGAGUUGUGCACACGUGUAAAUCCUACUAACACAAGAAACAAGAAGGUGUUAGAUAACGUAACAGAAGCAAACAAAUGAAAACCUACAGCUAAGAAUCAAUAAAAAUUGCUGAAAACAGAAAACCCGAAAAACUGCGGAGUAACUUGACAACUUCGUUCGAGGUGUUCCUGAUCUCCAAAAAUCACGAAAUUAAAUCUCGAAUGUCCUUAAAUAUUUAAUUUUUGAUCUGGAAAUUUUGGGCACCAAAUUCAACCCGCUGAAUCUUUUUUAAAUUUUUAUUGAAUUUCGUCUUUUUUGAUUUUUUUGACUUUUUUGACUGAUUUUUUUGCGGGAAUAAUUUUUUAUAUUCAAUCACAGUGCCAAAAACAUGUAUGUAAAAUUUCAGAUCAAUAGGACAACGUUUACCCACUCAAAUGAAUUUUUUUUGAACAAUUUUUCUGGGUAAAACUGUUGUUUAUGCUUUAAAAAAUAGAGAUCAGUUUAGAAAUCAACCAAGAACACCCAAAAUACCCAAAAUCUGAUACCAAAUGAUACGGGGUUGCGCGCGGACCAAGAUCGAGUUGCCAAGUCACGAGAAACUCCUACGAAAACCCUAAACAAUCAGAUCUGAAACGAAACAGAAAAUUAAAAGAUUAGAUUUUUGAAUUUUCAAAUCUGAAAUAAAAUCCCCAAAUCAGCAAAGAAUCAAAUUGAGAAUAGAAAUAAGUGUUAGGGUUAUUGAAACCCUCAAGGAGAUUGUGAUUCUGCCCAAUUGAACACCAAGAUAGUUUUCCCCAAAUUUCGACAAUCUAAUUUCACCCAAAAAGAGUAUGGAAAAACCCUAGAAAUUGGGGAUUUUUGGGCUGAUUCCUUAAGAUAGAAAAAGGCUGAAAACGCAAUAAGAACAAAAAAUAGAUUAGAUAAUGAUUCAGCACAAGUAGAAAUAAAGAAAGAAUUGACAGUAAGAAAUUAAAAGAUAAGUCCUAAGAAGCCUUGAAAUCCCGAAAGAUCUCACAACUCCCUUCAAACGGCUCUAAUCUCCCCUCCAAAGAAUAUCAAUGGCAAGAAGAAGGUUGAAGAUGGCUCCCACAAUCAAAAAGAUUGUUAAAACAACUUCUAAAGAAAACUCAAGAGAAAAUCCUUGAAGAACUCAAAGAGAAUUUUCACUCAAAUCAAAUCUGAAAUUUUCAAUGUAAUUGUAAUGUAAUGUAGGGUGGCUGGCCAAGCCAUAUAAAUAGGCCUUUCAAAUGUUUUCCUAAUUUAAUUAGAACACUAAAACUAAAACUAAAAAAAACUCCUAAUUAUUUUAAUAUGGAAAUUCGGCCAAGGGUCUUUUAUUUGGGACUCUUGGACUGAAUAUAAAAAUUUAAACUAAGUAAAAUAAAUAAAUAAAUAAAUAAAAAUAAAACUUUACAACUUGGGCCACUUUGACAAUUUGGCCUGAUUUUCAACUAAGUAUGGAUGGAUUUCUUGAUUGGGCUGGGAAUUUGCUUAUUGGGCCUCGCCUUCAAGAAUUUGGGCUUUUGUGACUCGUAUCAGUAUCUUAUAAUAAUUAUGAGUGUGGCGUGACGGUUGCUCACUUUAUUUUUUAAUCAUGUAGCCAGGGGUUCGAGCUCCACUCCUAGAAAUGGAACACCUUCCAACAAUGAAUACCUUAAUUUUGACAAUUAAACAACAUUUAAGAUAGAAUCUUAUCAUUUAUUAGUAGAAUAUAUAUACUAACAGCCAUGCAGCAUUUCAUUUAUGAGUUCAAAUAAAAUCAAGUUUCAACUGCUUCUAGUACUACUAACAAUGAGGCUCGAGAUUGCUCUUAUUCCAUUUCUGAAAUAGUGGCUAGAUCUCUGUUAACCGGCUUCCUAGGUGUGGUGGCACCCAUCGUCUUCGGUGUAUCUGUCGAUGCAAAAGGAUUUGGUGGCAUUGUAAGAACGUCAAGCUCUCCCUCUAACAUCUGAACCACCACUUUCAUCGAAGGACGAUCAACGGGAUACCACUGAAUGCACCAAAGUCCAACGAUCAUGAGUUUCUUUGCUAUCCCUGUUUGUGCAUCAUCUUCAAUUCGAAUCCCGAACUCCUCUCCUUUAUCCAAACGAUCAUAUGCCCAUUCUGGGAAAUAAACUUGGCUUGUAUUCUCGACCGUAACAUCUAUGUUCUUUCUCCCCCCAACCAUUUCAAGCAACAGCAUUCCAAAACUAUAAACAUCAGACUUAUAUGACACAUUUCCGAAGUUCCGAGACAGUACCUCGGGUGCAAUAUAGCCCAUGGUACCUCUAGCUGUUGUCAUUGAAAUAGCACUUUGUUCCUUGGAACACAAUUUAGCAAGGCCGAAAUCAGAGAUCUUAGGAUUGAAGUUGUGAUCAAGCAAAAUAUUGUGAGGUUUGAUGUCGAAAUGGAGGAUACGUUGCUCGCAACCUUGAUGCAGGUACUCGAUGCCUUUGGCUACACCGACAGCAAUAUCCUGAAGUUUUUCCCAACUAAGGGAUCGAUCCUUGCCCUUGGCUGCAAAUAUGAACUUCUCUAAUGACUCGUUUGGUAGGUAUUCAUAAACGAGAGCUCGGUCAUAUCCAUC
rnacentral:lncRNA from 1 species